CCUUCGAUUGAAUCAAGCGAUUCGACUGAUGAGGGAUCGGAUCGGCCGAGUUCAAAGACAUUUACUAUAUACUCGGUUCGGCUUAAAGAGCCGAAUGUACAAAAUGCACAAAGUUUUGGGUCAACUGAUGAGCUGAAUAGAUGGAAUACACAAUGACUACGGCUGAAAGAGCCGAAUGCCUUUAUAUAUUAAAAUAAAGUUAGGAACUCAUACAAAACAGAGUGUGCCCGAAGGGAAUACAAACUCUGAAAAUCUAGAUUACAACAGAGUGUGCCCGUGGAGCAUACAGACUCUAGAGAUCUAACUUAAAAACUACUUCUAGGAAAGCAAUAAAUGCAGGUAAAAAAGAUUACAUGUAGACUAUUCCUAGAAAACGAUAAAUGCAGGAAAGGAAAAUAUUGAAAAUGCGGUGGUCUUCUUAUUCAGGGAAGAGAAAGAUCUCUACUACAUGCUUCAAAGUUACUAUUUAUAAUAUCUUAUCAGCCCACAUUAUUGAUUGGUUAUAGUAGUGGGGAAAGUGGUGUAGCCAUGAUCAUGAAAAUUACGCCCCACUUCUCAUGGAAGUUAGGUGCCCCAGUGAAGUAAUACAACAUUUUACAUGUCCUUAAUAAUAGCCUUUUUGUUAGUGGGUAAAAUAUAGACUGUUCAUGCACUGUUUGUUUUCCAGUUAUUACUAUCUUAAAUUAUUGUGAUCUACGUUUCUUCUGUCAUGCUGAACAUGCUGUUGUUUGUAGAACUAAAAAAUUAUGGUUUGUAAGAGAGUUUUAUCUGUGCUGGUGUUUCUUCUACCCAAGCGAAUAUUGUCUUGUAGUAUGUAAACUUUUCUGUGUUUUCUCUUCGACAUCCUUUCGACUGGAAAUUGCUAGGACACACCUUUAACAUGACCAUCCAACCUUUUAAAUUGUAAUGGUGUCGAUUGCUAUCUUGGCCUAUACAUGGCUGCCGCAUAUAAAAAGUGCAACAACAAAUACUGCUACAGAAAUGUCCCUACAUACACUAUAGAUAUGUGUGUGUGUGUGUGUGUGUGUGUGUUUGGGGUUUGGGGGAAGAGAGAAGAAUACUUGACGUCUUAAGAGAGAGUGGGGGGAAGAGGGAGCGGGAGGGAAUACUUGAUGUCUUAAGAGAGAGCGAGAGGGAGAGAAAGAGGUUGGGAAUACUUGAUCUCUUGAGAGAGAGAAUAAAGCUAGAAUACUUGAUGUCUUAGUAACAGAUUUGUCAAUGCUUGCGAUAUUUUAUAUAUAGAACAUCACAUUCAAAUUAAAAAUUAAUUUUAAGAUAUGAAUUUUUGAAAAAAUCAGAUGCGGUGCAUGAGUCAUAUGGAUACACCACGUCAAAGUCUAUUACUUAUGCAUCAAAGUAAGAUUUGAAAAUUUAAUUGUAAUACUUUUUUGAGAGGAAGGUAGCAAAUUAUCCGAUUCGUUUAUUUUUUUAGAAAUGAACUUAGUUAGAAAUAUGAAACAACUUGGCUUUGAACUUGGGUAUUUGGGAAUUUGAUAUCAAUCAUCAAGCCCUUCGUCAGCUGUGUCAGGUACGGUUGGUGAUUAUUCUAUGUAUUGUUAAAUGCUAAUAUUGAAAAUUUAUGAUUCUCUAUAUGUAGGUAUUUUGAAUUUCGAAGAAUAUAUCUAAAUGGUUAGAUUUCAUUAAGGUAUAUAUUAUAGAGUUUUACGAAGUGUUAUUAUGAGAUUUACCUAAGUAACUGAGUGCAUGUAAUAUUUUCUAUGGGCCAACCUCUCAAAAAUUUUAAAUCUUUGAAUUUGUUAUCUAACAAACAGGAAUAAUUUUAACGCUAUUAAUUCUAAAAAUUAUUAAUUUUAACAUUAUUAAAUUUUAAAAACUAUUAAUUUUUAAAAUUUCUUGACAAAUGACUCGGUCCGCACAUUAAUUUCAAUAUAUCCAACGACAAACUACUGAAAUUAUAUUUAAAUUUCAGUUAAAUGAAUAAACAGUUUUGUCAGAUAAAGUUUGGGACCAAGUAGAUCAUUCAAAGUACAGUAGAUAUAUAGGAUUUAGCUUUGAUAUUCAAGUUAUUUUAAUCUUUCUCUUCAGUCGGUCAUCAAGCACUACAACAAAAAUAGUCUAUAGCGACACUUUUAAAUAUAGGUACAUAUCAAAAAAGUGCUGCUAGCUAAAAUUACCGACACUUUUAAAAAGUGUUGCUAUAUGUGGGGUCGCUAUGUAUAUAGUGACAGUUAAAGAGUGUCGCUAUAACCUAAAAGAGUGCUGCUAAUUUACAAACACUUAUUUAAGCAUUUAGCAACCACCGAAACUCUAUCUCGUUGGCUGCGGUGGCGGAGGAGGACGACAGGAAAGGCUCUUCGUCUAGAAUUUCAGUAGAUUGAGUGAAGAGAGAAGAAAAGAUGGUAAUUGAUUUUUCUUUUUUUUUUCUUUUAUAUUUGUAAUUGGGUCAAAUAGACUGGAUGUGGUGGGUUGAGUAGAGUAAUAUUUUAUUUUUGGUUUGAUUGGGCUUUAUAUUUAGGCAUAAGUAAAUGUUUUUUUAAGUUUUAGCAUAAAUGGGACACUUACUCAAAAGUGUCCCAAACAUGUAUCCCUAUAACCUAAUUCUGUUGUAGUGAAGUGUUAAAAGACUUAUCGAUCUUAACUUAGAAGAAUUCAACUCCGAACGGUAAUUGAGGGAUAAGUUUCUAGCAAAAUCUGAACAUAUUGUUAUUAUCAUUUUAUUAAAACCUACUACCAGCUAUGAUCCUGCUACGAAGCAUGGGCCUUCACUAGUUAUUCAUUUGUACUUGUAGCAUAGCAUAAGUAGUAAUCCACCUUAUUUGCAGGUCACACUUAGCAGAUCCUUAGAAAUGAAACUGUGGCGGCCUCAGCCAACAACUAAGCACCAUUUUGAAACAGACCCCUCAACUUUAUUCUUUUUUUAUUGUAUUUACAGUUCACUACCUGCAGAUCCUUGGAUAUAAAACCGUAGCUGCAUCAGCUAACGAGUAACGACUAUGUGCCAUUUUACAAUGUUUUAGUUAAAUUUGGGAUUCCUAACAGAGCCAUUGGUUUUGAAAUGAGCAAACGCAGAGGAGGAUGAUGCCCCGAUUGAAAUAUACGACGAAGUUGAAGGACCCAUUUUGCAUUGCUUCGUACGCUUUCGCCUCAGCAGAUCACACAGCAUUGAGGGUAGUCCUCGGUAACUUGUACAUAAGGAAUGUACGGAGUAAACACGGGGUCGUUCGGAACCUUCUUGUCGCCGCCUUUCGGGGGCUCGUUUUUCUUCUUGUCCUCCUCCUUGGCCAGCCCAACAUGGGAAAUGUCGGCGCGCCAAAACUUCCUCACCUUGCAGGCGAUGCACACCGGGUCGACGUCCCCGACAACGGUGAGCUUCUUUUCCUUCAUGUCCAUGGAGAUGGAAUCAACCCCUGUUGAUGUAGCAGGCAAAGUGUAGAUCAGGUUUGUGUCUACAUGGGUUUAAUUGAAGAAAUUAUUAGAGUAAAAUGUAGUCCCUGUAGUUUUGCCAUUUUGAGAUUCAACCCCUGAAACCUUUAGUUUUUCCUGCAAAGAUUUUUUUUUGCAUUUUGCAAUCAUAUCCUUGACAUCCCGGUCAGGUGAUGGAUAAUUACUUGUUAAAAAAAAAUUGUUUUAAAAUUUUUAAUUUUUUUGUCGUUAAAUAAUUUGGUGCGAGCAAUCUAUUAUUUCUUCCUAUACCUAUUACACACAGAAAUUCUACUUAAGAAAAGUAAAAAAAAAAUAACAAUAAUAUCUAACGUGGUCGAAAUUAUUUAAACGAAAAUUUAAAGACUCAGUAGUAAGCAGAGUGUCAUUUUUACUCUCUUUUUUCUAAUGACUUACUGUCAUAUAUAUGUAUAUACUAGUGAAAUACCCGCGCGAUGCUGCGGAUCUAAAAUAUUUUUAUAAUAAAUUUUAUUUUUUUAAUAUUUUUAUAUAGUUUUAUAAGUCUAAUUAUUAAUUAAAUAAAAAUUAUAUAAAAAUAAUUUAAUAGUUAAAUCUUAAAAUUGAUAUAUGCCCAAAUAAAUUUAUACAUCACUUUAUUUUAUAAAGAUUUAUAUGAGAAAGAUUUGAGAUAAAUCUAUCAAAAUAAUUUUUAAAAAAUCAAUAGAUAGAAGGGAAGUAAGAUUGGUUUAGGUAGAAAAAAAUUGUUAAUAAAAUUUAAAUUUUCAUUUAAUAUACAUAUUUAUAUAUAUAUUAUAUAUAUAUAUAUAAUAUUAUAUUAUAAUUUAUAUAUAAUAUAUAAUAGGUUAUUCUGGAUAUACGUUCCCUGGCAAAACAUAGUGGAAUGCGGACAAUAUCCCUGCAAACGGAAACUCCAUAAGUUUGUCCCUUGCAAAAGUUCCUAAUUUAUGCAGGUAUGUCCCUCUGUUAACAUCUGUUAGAAACACUGUUUUAUUAUUUUAACAGUUUUCAUUUUUGGAAAUGAACCAUUUUGCCCUCACAAAUAUAAUCCCUCCAAAAGCAUAUUCCAUUUCUCAUUUCUUUCCUCUUCCUCUUCGGCGGCCGGAGGGAUGGCGGCCGACGAGCGGGUCUGAGCUCGCGGGCGACGAGAAGAGGGAAGAGAAAAGAUGAGGGAAGAAAAAAAGGGAGAGGAAGAAGGAGAGGGAAGAGGGAAGGGAAGGAGGGAAAAGAGAAAGAUGAAAGAGGGAAAAAUGUUGAAACGCGCGCGCGCACGCCCAGUCUCCAUCCCUCGCCGGCGACGAAGAAGAGGGAAGAGGAAGAGGAAAAGGAAGAGGAAGAGGGACAAGAAAGAGGGAAGAGGAAGGAGAGAGUAGGGGAGAGAUUCGCUUGCCGCGUCGGAUCUUCUCCCUCACCGGCGAUGAAGAAAGAGGGAAAGAGGAACAGGAGAGGAAGAAGAAGGGAAGGAAAAUCGGGAAGAGGGAGAGGAGGAAAGAAGGAGAUGGAAAGAAAGAACGAAGAGGGUUCCCGUCGCGUUUGCGCGCCGCCGCACCCCCCUCGCCCCGGCGAACGCACGAAGAAGAGGGGAGGAAGGCAAAGGAAGAACGGGUUUAGUAGGAAAAUUUCAUAAAUUUUACCGUUAUUAAUUUAACCAAUAGUUUAAAGUAUUUUAAAUUAACGUGGUUAACGAAAUUUUCUAACCAGUCCUAACGCAGGAAAUAUCUGGGAUACUUUUUAGGACUUUGCAAGGGGAAUAAAAACUUAUUUGGAUUUUCGUUUCUGCAGGGAUAUUUCGCAAUUGACUAUGUUUGCAGGGGAAACCAUGUAAUUUUUGCAAUCUUACAUAUUAUAUUAUAUAUUAAAAAAUUGCGGGCAAGCAAGAGUAAAGGAGGGUUUUGGAGGGUGACACGUUGUCAACUCUCUUGAGAACUCUCCCCCCAAACCUCCUUUAACUAGUAAUAGAAAGAAUAGAUAGAUAUUAUAUAUGUAUAUAGAGAGAGCAGAGAGGAGAGGAGAGUGUCCGGCUACUUGCUAUUAAUUAGUUUGAAGCACUUAAUGUACUAAGUUUUCCGUCAUUAAAUAUACCUCUUUGAUCAUUUUCACCCUGUUUAGAUCAUACUAUUCAACGUAAACCAGCAUCACUCAACCUAGAGGCCGCCCAAAUCAUACCUAACCGCAAUCUCUUAAAUCCAAUGGCCAAAAAUUGAUAGCACCAAUUACUUUAGGUGCAUUAAAUAGUAUAUUAGCCUAGUUCUAUAACAGUCCGGCUAUUAUAUUUAUUGAUAGCCGAGCACCUGGUGCUACCAGUUUUCCGCCGUUAGAUCCUACCCCCGUCUUUGAUUCAUUAUUCACCCGUUAGAUCAACUAUAUAACCAAAAAAAACCCACCCACUCAACCAGGGGUCCACAAUCUAACGGAAUCUCUUAAUCUAUAUAAUAUAUAUAUAUACUAUAUAUAUCUAUAUUAUAUAUAUAUAUAUAUUUUAUUUAUCCGAGACGGAGAGAGAGACAUGAGGAGAGAGGGAGAAGAAGGGAUAGACAAGAGAGAGAGAGUUGGGUGACAUUACUAUUUGAUAGUAAAAAGUUUUUUUUGCUAUCAAAUUUUUAGUCUUUGGAUCAAUUUUUGUAGAGCCAGGAUGAUAGUAGUCCCUUAGGAUUGAGUGGUUAUCUUAGAGUUGAGUGGUCCCUACUGGAUUAUAAUAUUUAAUCUAAUGAUUAGAAAUGAUAAAAGGAAUUGAUCCAAAGGUUAAAAAUUUGAUAGCAAAAAGGGCCUUUUAUUAUCAAUAAUAUUCUAACCCAACUCUCUCUCUAUAUAUAUAUAAUAUAUAGAGAGAGAGAGUGUGUGUGUGGAGCUGAUGUGCUUUCAGAAAUACGGUAGUUUUAUACUAUCAAAUCAUUUUCGAAGUUAGUACUUUUGAAUUGACGAUCACCUUCGUUAAACUUGAUUUAAAGUAUUAGAAGCAUCUAGAAAAUAAAUUUCGUGAUUUGGAAGUAUCAAUAGCAUUGAAAGUAUGCGAAGGUAGAAAUGAUUGAAGAAAUAGAUGAUGUAAUGGUGGAAAAUUGCUAGCACUAAGUGUUUGGUGCUAUUAGGAGCACCACAAUCGGACUCUCUAUAUAUAGAAUUCGGCUAGAAUACUUUUAAUAGUAUUUGGAUUUUUUUUAUUAUUACGUCUAUAACUUUUAGAUGAAAAAUUAUAGGGUUCAAAUAAGAGUGGUCUCCUAAGGUUGAGUGAUUAAUUAGGGUUUAAUCGCAGUUGCUGGAACAGUAUAGAAUCUAUAGAUCUAAAGAUAGAAAUGAUCAUAAGAGUAAAUCAAAUGGUAAAAAAGUUGAGAGUACCAAGCGCUUGGUGCUGUUAGAAGUACUGCAGUCAGACUCUCUCUCUCUCUCUCUCUAUAUAUAUAUAUAAAAGAAUCCUAUUAAAAGGGUAUAUAAAGAAUACUAGAAAGGGUAGCUACAAAAACCUUUCGGGGCACACCAAAGUUCAAAGAAAAGAAAAAGAAAUUUCACCUAGACCAGAGUUGCAUGAUGUAAUUAUAACUUUAGAGAAAUAUAAAGAAAAUAAUAAAUAAAGGAUGCUAUAUAUGGGCCAAAGGUGGUGAUACCAUAAAGCUUGGAGACAACUUUAAAUGCCUUUUGCUUCUCCUUAUCGCCUUGCAAAUACAAGUUGAGAAUUACCUUCUGUGUAAUUCUAACAGUAAGUGGAAUUAGAAUCGCAACAGUAAGUGUAAUUCAAAAAAAAAAAUUUUAAAAUGAUAAUUUAAAUUAUUGAUAAGAUUUAAAAAUUUGCGUAAUUCUCAUUACCGUUUUAUGAUCUCUAAUAAUUAGGUUAAAAAUUACAUCUUCCCAUCAUGUUUCUCUACUAUUUCACGCUUCCCCAAAAAACAUUAAAUCAGACGUUCAUUUAAUCAGGGAUCGAAUCUGAUUCAGUGGGUUUAUUUUCGCUAAAACUUUUUUGAUAACGUAUAAAGCAUGUAACAUAAGAAGUUUGGAGUGCUCUUUAUAGAAUUUUAGUUUUAGAUUAAGUAAUCUUCACAAAGUAUUAUAAAUAUCCUACUGUUCUAGUCUAACUCAGCUCAGUGUCUGCUCGUAGCAUAAACAUAUAAAAUAUUUAGAAAAAGAUACCCGAGGUUAAAAAUGAUAUUGAUACGUCGACAAACUUCCCUUUUUUCUUUUUAUUUUUUAUUCUAACUCCAAUCUUCGGUAGACUAGGUGUGAUACUGUACCACCUUGUCCAGAUUUGUUAUUAAAGAGAUGUGAGAACACGAGUUUAGAGAGGGGAUAUAUAUGAUAUAUGUAGUAGUUGUUAUUGUUGUUUGUGUAUUUAGGGAAAAGAAAAAGAAAAGAAAAAAAAGGAUGUGAGGUAAAAGAGGAGAGGGUGAGAAGAACGAAGGAAACUGAGGAGUAUAUUAUUAUUGUUUGUACAGGCCUCUGUUCUUCCAAUCAAAAGAAUUAUAAAAAAAGAAAACAGAAAACAAAAAAAAAAAACGUUGUUAAAGUAGUAUAAAAGUUUNNNNNNNNNNNNNNNNNNNNNNNNNNNNNNNNNNNNNNNNNNNNNNNNNNNNNNNNNNNNNNNNNNNNNNNNNNNNNNNNNNNNNNNNNNNNNNNNNNNNNNNNNNNNNNNNNNNNNNNNNNNNNNNNNNNNNNNNNNNNNNNNNNNNNNNNNNNNNNNNNNNNNNNNNNNNNNNNNNNNNNNNNNNNNNNNNNNNNNNNNNNNNNNNNNNNNNNNNNNNNNNNNNNNNNNNNNNNNNNNNNNNNNNNNNNNNNNNNNNNNNNNNNNNNNNNNNNNNNNNNNNNNNNNNNNNNNNNNNNNNNNNNNNNNNNNNNNNNNNNNNNNNNNNNNNNNNNNNNNNNNNNNNNNNNNNNNNNNNNNNNNNNNNNNNNNNNNNNNNNNNNNNNNNNNNNNNNNNNNNNNNNNNNNNNNNNNNNNNNNNNNNNNNNNNNNNNNNNNNNNNNNNNNNNNNNNNNNNNNNNNNNNNNNNNNNNNNNNNNNNNNNNNNNNNNNNNNNNNNNNNNNNNNNNNNNNNNNNNNNNNNNNNNNNNNNNNNNNNNNNNNNNNNNNNNNNNNNNNNNNNNNNNNNNNNNNNNNNNNNNNNNNNNNNNNNNNNNNNNNNNNNNNNNNNNNNNNNNNNNNNNNNNNNNNNNNNNNNNNNNNNNNNNNNNNNNNNNNNNNNNNNNNNNNNNNNNNNNNNNNNNNNNNNNNNNNNNNNNNNNNNNNNNNNNNNNNNNNNNNNNNNNNNNNNNNNNNNNNNNNNNNNNNNNNNNNNNNNNNNNNNNNNNNNNNNNNNNNNNNNNNNNNNNNNNNNNNNNNNNNNNNNNNNNNNNNNNNNNNNNNNNNNNNNNNNNNNNNNNNNNNNNNNNNNNNNNNNNNNNNNNNNNNNNNNNNNNNNNNNNNNNNNNNNNNNNNNNNNNNNNNNNNNNNNNNNNNNNNNNNNNNNNNNNNNNNNNNNNNNNNNNNNNNNNNNNNNNNNNNNNNNNNNNNNNNNNNNNNNNNNNNNNNNNNNNNNNNNNNNNNNNNNNNNNNNNNNNNNNNNNNNNNNNNNNNNNNNNNNNNNNNNNNNNNNNNNNNNNNNNNNNNNNNNNNNNNNNNNNNNNNNNNNNNNNNNNNNNNNNNNNNNNNNNNNNNNNNNNNNNNNNNNNNNNNNNNNNNNNNNNNNNNNNNUAGAUCAACUCUAACAAAGCCGAUCGUCGAUUCGAAAGUCCGAACAUCGAAAACAAAGUGGAAGCACGGAGGGCUCCAUGCUUCCAUAGCAUACCAGCCUACUCUAUAUAUAUAUAUAUAUAGCCUAUAUGAGCCCGGCUACUAUACUCUUAUGAGUACGAUCACUCUCGUAUUCAUAAGUUGCUUUCAAUGAUAGAGUUUUCUAAUCGACGAUCCAUACCAUUAAACGUUAUUUAGAGCAUUUAAAAUGUCUAGAAAUUAAAUUUUAUAAUUUUUCGAUAUCAUUUAUCUUACUAUCAAAAAGUCAUAAAAUUGAUAGUUUUUAACGGCCGGUAUGGAAUAUUUGCUAGUUUAAUGGUGUAAAAAAAUCAAAAUCGGUUGAAUUUUUAAUAGAAAAAUCUAUUCACUACAUAUAUAAAGAUCAAUAACUCCGAUCUUAAUUGAAGGAUCCGAAUAUCCAUUUUUAAGAAGUCGUUCGAUUUUGACCAUUCAUUUUAUACCCGCUUGAUGAACUUUAUUAUGAUUUUGAAAAAUUACGAAAUUUAUUUUAUAAAAGUUUCAAAUACUCUAGAUUAUAUUUAACGGAGUUGAUUGUCAAUUCAGAAGCUCCAUCAUUAAAAACAACUCAUGAGUAUGAAGGACUCUAUACUCAUAAGAGUAUAGUAGCUUUAGCCUCUCUCUAUAUAUAUAUAUAUAGAGAGAGUUGGACUGGGCUACUAUUAGUAGCAAAAUCUCAUUGUUGCUACCAGUUUUUUAGCCUUUGGAUCAACUCUUUUCAUUAUUUUUAACCAUUGGAUUAAAUACUAUAACCCAGUGGGGACCACUCAACCCUAUGGGGACCAUUCAACUCUAACCGACUAAUAUCAUCCCGACCCUACAAUUUUNCGCGGGUCGAGCUCGCCGGCGACGAAGAAGAGGGAAGAGAAAGAAUGAGAGGAAGAAAAAAAGGGAAGAGGAAGAAGGAGAGGAAGAGGGAGAGGAAGAGGGAAGAGAAAGAUGAAGAGGGAAAGGGUUCAACGCCGCGCGCCGCCGCCGCAUCUCCUCCCUCGCCGGCGACGAAGAAGAGGGAAGAGGAAGAGGAAAAGGAAGAGGAAGAGGAAAAGAAAGAGGAAGAGGAAGAAGAAGAGAGAGGGAGAGGAUUCGCUGCCGCCGUCGGAUCUUCUCCCUCACCGGCGAUGAAGAAGAGGGAAGAGGAACAGGAAGAGGAAGAAGAAGGGAGAAAAGGGAAGAGGGAGAGGAAGAAGGAGGAAAAGAAAGAGAGAGGGUUCGCCGUCGCCGCUGCCGCCGCCGCCGCCACCGCCCUCGCCGGCGACGAAGAAGAGGGAAGAAGAAGAAGGGUAGAAUCAUAAAUUUACGUUAUAAUUAACCAUGGUUAAGUACUUUAACCGUGGUUAACGAAAAUUUUCUAACAGUCCUUAACGGCAGGAACAUAUCUGCAUAACUUUAGACUUUUGCAGGGAUAACUUAUGGAGUUUCCGUUUUGCAGGGAUAUUUCCGCAAUUGACUAUGUUUGCAGGGACCUGUAUGCAUUUAACCCAUAUAUAUAUAUAUAUUGGGAAAGAGAGUAAAGGAGGGUUUGGGAGGGUGACACGUGUCACUCUCUGGACCUCCCAAACCCUCCUUUAAUGUAAUAGAAAGAAUAGAUAGAUAUAUAUAUGUAUAUAGAGAGAGAGAGAGAGAGAGAGUGUCCGGCUACUAUGCUAUUAAUAGUAUGAAGCACUUAAUGCUACUAAGUUUUCCGUCAUUAAAUAUACCUCUUUGAUCAUUUUUACCCGUUAGAUCAUACUAUUCAACUAACCACUCACUCAACCCUAGAGGGCCCACAUCAUCCUAACCGCACAUCUCUUAAUCCAAUGGCCAAAAACUUGAUAGCACCAAUUACUUGGUGCUAUUAAUAGUAUAUUAGCCUAGUUCUAUAAAGUCCGGCUAUUAUGCUAUUAAUAGCACGAAGCACUUGGUGCUACCAAGUUUUCCGCCGUUAGAUCUACCCCUUUGAUCAUUUUCACCCGUUAGAUCAUACUAUUCAACCAACCACCCACUCAACCCUAGGGGGUCCACAAUCCUAACCGGACAUCUCUUAAUCCUAUAUAUAUAUAUAUAUAUAUAUAUAUAUAUAUAUAUAUAUAUAUAUAUAUAUAUANAUCAUAAGAGUAAAUUAAAUGGUAAAAAAGUUGAGAGUACCAAGCGCUUGGUGCUGUUAGAAGUACUGCAGUCAGACUCUCUCUCUCUCUAUAUAUAUAUAUAUAUAUAAAAGAAUCCUAUUAAAAGGGUAUAUAAAGAAUACUAGAAAGGGUAGCUACAAAAACCUUUCGGGGCACACCAAAGUUCAAAGAAAAGAAAAAGAAACUUCACCUAGACCAGAGUUGCAUGAUGUAAUUAUAACUUUAGAGAAAUAUAAAGAAAAUAAUAAAUAAAGGAUGCUAUAUAUGGGCCAAAGGUGGUGAUACCAUAAAGCUUGGAGACAACUUUAAAUGCCUUUUGCUUCUCCUUAUCGCCGUGCAAAUCCAAUUUGAGAAUUACCUUCUGUGUAAUUCUAACAGUAAGUCGAAUUAGAAUCGCAACAAAUUCAAAACUUUUCGGAAAAAAUUUGAAAAUAUGAUGAAAUUGUUGCAAAAAAAAAAAACAAAAGACAAAAGAAAAAAAUAUUAAGACAACUAACCAUCUUGUCUCCGGACAUGUUUGUUAUUAUUAUAUGAGGAGUCAAAGGAAGCAAGAAGAGUGGGAGAGGAGAAAAUGGAGUGUAGCAAAAAAGGUUUUAAAAAAAAAAAAAAAGAAAAGAAAAGGGAUUUAUGUGUUUGUUGUUAUUGUUGAUAUGAUGUAUAUCAGUAUAUAUAGGGGAGAGAUUUGAGCACAAGAGUGUAGAGAAAUUAUUGUUUAGACCUGUUCCACCAUGUCAUAGUGUGGAUCAGAUGGCUUCUAACCUCAAUCUUAUUUUUUAUUUUUCUUUUUUCCCUUCAAACAGCUGCAUAGUUAUAGUAAAAAUUGGAGCCCAUAGAAAAAGAUUUAUAAAAUAUACAAAUACGAUGCUCGUCUGUGACUCGACUCAAUCUGAUCUUGUCAUCCUAUAAAUAUUAUGAAACACUUCUAAUGAAUUAGAUUUUGAUUUUAAGAUAUUUCUCGUGAGGUUUGAAGAAUACAAUGUACGAAAUAUGCAAUAGUUUUUUCAAAAUCGCUUUUAUUUGGGUGACUUAGUCUAAGCUAGGGACUAAUUUACUUGCAGACUAAAUUACAAAAAACCCCUUCGCACUUUAUCAUCUCUUUGUACUACCCUUCUACAUUAAAAAUUGGAUUAAUAAUCUCUAGUAUUUUGCCAUUACUCUUAAUGCGUUUAAAAAUUUAGAAUAGUUAUUAAAUUUAAUAGUAAAAUUUUAUAAAAAUAAGUUGGCAGAUGAAGCUGGUUAUAGUUAAUGCAGCAAAUUAAGCUAUAUAUAAAUUGAAUAAAUUGUAACUAUUAACUCUCCAGUUUUGACAAGAUUAGCAAAAUAAGAGAUGUUACUCAAAACUAUUUUUUUAAAAAUUAAUCUUUAAGUUGCAAAUUAGAUCAAUGUUGAAAUGCAGAAUAAUGUGUCACUUUGGUGGAAUUUAAUAAUUUAAUUCCCUAACUAUUCUAAAAUUUUAUAUAAUAUUUAAAAUAAUAAUAAAUAUAAAAAACUGACGUAACUUUUAAGUUAGAAAGAUAUGUAAUAAUGAUCUAAUUAAGCGUCAGCAUUGAUCACGAGAGUCAGUCAACGUGUGCUUCUUAUUAAUUUCUAGGCGCCAGGUGGAAGAUUGGCACAGUGUAUGUCAUUGUCAUGAGUCGAAUUUGUAGUAAAAUCAAAUUUAAAUUUUAUUUUAUUUUAUUUUUUUAGUUUUCAUUUUGAAAUUUUUAACACGGUAAAAAUUCGGGUAAAUUUAGAUGAUACCGAGUAAUAGUUUGACAUGAAGGCCAGCUAUAAAAAAGAGUCGGGACAAAAACAAAUAAUAUAUAUAUAUAUAUAGAGAGAGAGUUAAGUUGGAAUGCUAUGAAUAGUAUAUCGGCUCUUUUAUUAUUGAAUUUUUAAUUUCUGGAUGAAAAAUUAUAGGAUUUAGAUGAUAAUGGUCCGCUAGAGUUUAGUGGAGGGACCCCUAGGGUUGAAUAAAUAUUUGGUUGAAUAGUGUGAUCUAAAAAAUAAAAUUGAUUAAAAUGUAAAUUUAAUGGUUAAAAAAUCAAUAGCAAAAAGUGUUCAAAUAGUAUUAAUAGUAUUCCUGCUCAACUCUAUAUAUAUAUUCUUUCUAGUGAGAUCGUAGAGGUUAUAUUACAAAAGCAAUAUAUAUAUAUAUAUAUAUAUGAUAUAAUAUAUAUAUAGUAUAUAUAUAUAUAUAUUAUAUAUAAUAUGACAUUAAGACUAGAAUAACUAUCGUGCAAAUUUUGUUUUCGAUUGUUCGGACUUUCGAUCGACGCAUCGGACUUCGUUAACUUGUCUAAGUAUUUGAAGUAUCUUAGAAAAUAAAUAUACGAUUUUCCGAUAUCAUUGCCUCAGUGAUCGAAGUGGCUAACAAUCAACAGCAUGAAAAAAAAAUCUUAUAAAACUAGAUGAUAUGACAUUAAAAUUUUAGAUCAAAGUUAUUUAUUUGUUUUAUAUGUAUAAAGAAUUUCCUAUCAAAAUUUCAUACGAUUUGAAUCAUUUCUACACAGUUAAACUUCCAACCGCUCACCACGGGCCAUUAAAAUUAUUAAUUUGAGCGCGCGACUCGAUCACGUAGGCAAAUCGAUAUCGAAAAUCACAAAAUUUAUUUCUAGGAUAACUUAAGAUACUCCUAGAUCAACUCAUAACAAGCCGAUCAUCGAUUCGAAGUUCGAACAUCGAAAACAAGUGGAGCACGGAUGGGCUCCCGUGCUUCCAUAAGCAUACCAAGCCUACUCUCCUCUCGUCGUCAGCCGGGUAGUUCCUGUCUCACCGGACGAGGGUACUCUAGAAGAGGAAGACUAAAGAGAACAGCAAGUCGUAGAUCUCUAUAUACUAGUGGAUGAGGAGCGAUUAAGCCAAAGGAGUGGACGAGAUCUCCGGGGCUCGGCCAGUCUCCCCUCUCCCAGCCUUGGGACCCUAUCCCGUCUCACGCAUGGAGACUCUACAGCAACAGCCUCCGGAACUCGCAGCCCGAGAAUAAUCGAGACGCGGCCGCGCAGACCUGGCUCAGUCUCGUCCUGGACGGAAUCGAUACGACGCAACAUGGCCAAAUAGGAACAAUAAUCCGAAAUAGUAUGUGGAGAGAAAAAAUUGUGCUGUGCUUCACCAGAGCCUCCAUUGCGCCUGGUCCAUUCUGUAAUUCUGCACUCUUGCCACCUCACACUUCGCUUCCCUUCUCUUCUGCUCCCCCGUACCCAAAUGUACUCGCUAUUUUCUUGGCAGCACGCCACUGACUCUGCCGUAUGCUGACCGCGUUCGUCCAGGCUCGUCCUCAGUUCGUGUCCUCGGCUCCUCCUCUUCUGCCCUUCCGCGCGCUCGCCCCUGCGCUCAUUUGCCCGUUUGCUUUUCCCUUGAUACCUUGCCGUGUCCCGUACGGCUCGUCGACCGGAGGUCGGAUAAAUACUCUCAGCUCGUCUCUCCGGCUCGAUCCCCUCUCCGACAUCUCACACGCCGUCAUCCUUUUGGACGUGUGCUAACUUAACCUCGCCGGUCUGUCAAAUCCUCCUAUAUAUAAUAUAUAAAUAUAUAUAAUAUAUAUAUAAUAUAUAUAUAGCCUAUAUGAGCCCGGCUACUAUAGCCUUUCAUAGUACGAUCACCUCUGUAUUCAUAAUUGGCUUUCAAUGAUAGAUUUUCCUAAUCGACGAUCCAUACCUAUUAAAACGUUAUUAGAGCAUUUAAAAUUCUAGAUAAUAAAUUUAAUAAUUUUCGAUAUCAAUUUAUCACGAUGCAAAAGUCAUAAAAUUGAUGGAGUUUUAACGGGCCCGUAUGGGAAUAUUUGGCUUAGUUUCUACAUGUGUAAAAAAAUCAAAAAUCGCGUUUGAAUUUUUAAUAGAAAAAAAUCUAUUCACUUACAUAUAUAAAGAUCAAUAACUCCGAUCUAAUUGAAUGGAUCCGACAUAUCCAUUUAUUAAGACGUUCGAUUUUGACCAUCUGCAUUUAUACCCGGCUUGAUGAACUUAUUAUCGAUUUUUGAAAACAUUACGAAAUUAUUUAUAAAGUUUCAAAUACUGCUAGAUUCAUCUUCAACUGAGUUAUUGUCAAUUCAGAAGCUGCAUCAUUAAAGAACAACUCUGAGUCUGAAGGACUCAUACUGCCAAAAGAUAGUAGCUUAGCCUCUCCUAUACUAUAUAAGUAUAAAUAAGAAGUUGACUUGGGCUAAUUAUAAAGGCCAAAAAUCAUUGUGACAGUUUUUUACCGUUUUGGAUCAACUCUUUUUAUUAUUUCUAACCAUUGGAUUAAAUAGUAUAACCCAAUGGGGACCACUCAACCCUAGGACCACUCAACUCUAACCGACUAAUAUCAUCCCGACCCUACAAUUUUUCAUCCAAGGGUUAAAAACUUGAUAGCAAAAAGAGCGUUUUACUAUUAAUAGUAUUCCAGCCUAAUUCUAUAUAUAUAUAUAGAGAGAGAGAGAGAGAGUCCAGCUAUGGUGCUUGUAAAAGCAUCAAGCACUUGGUGCUUGUAAAUUUUUUUACCGUUAGAUCUACUUCUCGGAUCAUUUUCAAUCAUUAGAUUAUACUAUUCAACCAACCACCCAUUCAACCCUAGGGGGCCCAUAUCAUCCUAACCGCAUAUCUCUUAAUCCAAUGACUAAAAAUCUACAAGCACCAAUACCUUAGUACUUUUAAAAGCAUAGGAACUCAAUUCAUAUAUAUAUAUAUAUAUAUAUAUAGUUGAGCUAUGAUACUUUUACAAGUAUCACCAUCAUGGUGCUAUUAGGUUUCAAGCCAUUGAAUCUAGUUUUUGAUUAUUAAUAGCCCUUGGAUUAAACACUAUUUCAACUACCACCACCUACCACCACCUACCACCAUCAUCUCAACCUCACAUCUCUCCAUCCAAGGGCUAAAAACACACAAGUAUCACCCCCAUGAUACUUNNNNNNNNNNNNNNNNNNNNNNNNNNNNNNNNNNNNNNNNNNNNNNNNNNNNNNNNNNNNNNNNNNNNNNNNNNNNNNNNNNNNNNNNNNNNNNNNNNNNUUCUUAUUCUAUCUUAUCUAUUCAAAUGCUAUUUUUUUUAUCCCCGAGAACAACUCAAUUUUCAUCCAAAUACAAAAUUAGUCUAUUCCAGACUUAUACAUGAACUUAAAUCAAUCUGGAAUAUGCAGUUUUAUUUAUACCCGAACCAAACAAAGAGAGAUACUUGAGAUUGUUAUAAAAACAGAAUAUUUGGAACAAAUAAAAUAAUUUAGAACUUCAAAAUAUAUAUAUAUAUAUAUAUUUUUUACUGGAUGAUAUUUGAAUACUCCUUUUGCAGUAUUAAAAUACAUAAAUAAAUAAAACCCCAAAAUCCUAUAUUUUUGGAGUAAAAUGAACCUGAGCUUUUACCUCUAACAAAAUUUUUAAGCAAUUCUUGAGUAAAAAAAUACACUGUAAAAAUUUACAUAGUUCUAAAACAAACAAUUACUGCUAGAAAGAAAAAAGGAACUAAGAAAAUAAAUUAAGAAAAUAAAAAUGUAUAAGACUUACCUUNGAUGAACUUUAUUAUGAUUUUGAAAAAUUACGAAAUUUAUUUUAUAAAAGUUUCAAAUACUCUAGAUUAUAUUUAACGGAGUUGAUUGUCAAUUCAGAAGCUCCAUCAUUAAAAACAACUCAUGAGUAUGAAGGACUCUAUACUCAUAAGAGUAUAGUAGCUUUAGCCUCUCUCUAUAUAUAUAUAUAUAGAGAGAGUUGGACUGGGCUACUAUUAGUAGCAAAAUCUCAUUGUUGCUACCAGUUUUUUAGCCUUUGGAUCAACUCUUUUCAUUAUUUUUAACCAUUGGAUUAAAUACUAUAACCCAGUGGGGACCACUCAACCCUAUGGGGACCAUUCAACUCUAACCGACUAAUAUCAUCCCGACCCUACAAUUUUUCAUCCAAGGGUUAAAAACUUGAUAGCAAAAAGAGCGUUUUACUAUUAAUAGUAUUCCAGCCUAAUUCUAUAUAUAUAUAUAUAUAGAGAGAGAGAGAGAGAGUCCAGCUAUGGUGCUUGUAAAAGCAUCAAGCACUUGGUGCUUGUAAAUUUUUUUACCGUUAGAUCUACUUCUCGGAUCAUUUUCAAUCAUUAGAUUAUACUAUUCAACCAACCACCCAUUCAACCCUAGGGGGCCCAUAUCAUCCUAACCGCAUAUCUCUUAAUCCAAUGACUAAAAAUCUACAAGCACCAAUACCUUAGUACUUUUAAAAGCAUAGGAACUCAAUUCAUAUAUAUAUAUAUAUAUAUAUAGAGUAGGGCUAGAAUACUUGUAAAAGUAUCAUAGCUCAACUAUAUAUAUAUAUAUAGAGUAGGGCUAGAAUACUUGUAAAAGUAUCAUAGCUCAACUAUAUAUAUAUAUAUAGUUGAGCUAUGAUACUUUUACAAGUAUCACCAUCAUGGUGCUAUUAGGUUUCAAGCCAUUGAAUCUAGUUUUUGAUUAUUAAUAGCCCUUGGAUUAAACACUAUUUCAACUACCACCACCUACCACCACCUACCACCAUCAUCUCAACCUCACAUCUCUCCAUCCAAGGGCUAAAAACACACAAGUAUCACCCCCAUGAUACUUUUACAAGUAUUCUAGCCCUACUCUAUAUAUAUAUAUAUAUAUAUUCUUUUUAGUACCAUUAUAAAAAAUAUAUUUUAAAUAUAACUUACACGCUGUUUGACUGUCCCACUUCCUAGAAUUUGAAAGAGUUAGAAUUCUAAUGUUUUUAGAUCUGUUGUUUAAAGCCAUAAAUUAACCCAAAAAAAAAAAAUUCAAUUUAUUGGGAAGGAUCUGAUGAGGUUUCUCACAAUACAAAUCAGUCUCACUCAAAUUUCAUGAUUUGAUUAUAGAACAGGUUUCGUGAGAAUUUAUUUGGUAUUAGUUAUACUGUUUAAGUUCUAAAUGAGUUCGAUUAAAUUUUUCUCAACUAAGUUAUAUUGUAUACUCAGAGCUUGUUUGGUAAGAAAGAAAGCCGUUUGACAAUAAUAAUGAAAAUAGAGUUAAAACAUAAGUAUAUAAAAAAAAAUAUUUUAAUUUUUACGACUUUUGAUAAAACCGCACUUAUUUUCUUAAAGUACGUAAUGUAAUCUUUUGAAAAUUCAAAAGCAGAGCCUUUAAAGCUAAUACCAACCAGUGUUUAGAAUUUUCUUUUUUUAAUUUUUUUGGUACUUCUUCACAUGGCCAAUUUCAAUUCAAUCCAACGGAAUCUGAGAUAUAAAUAUAUAUGGUACAAAAUGACUUUAUUUGUUUGAGUAAACAAACACCAUAAAAUUUUGGAGAAUGAGUUGAAUCGUUAGAAAGAAAAUUUUUUUUUUUAAUAUACGUUUGACGUAUUGAUAAAUUUAUAUGAUAUUUUUUAGCCUGAUUUAUAAUUUGUAUAACAUACAUCAACACAUCAAUAAUAUAUAACUGAUGAUAUUUAUUAGUUACAAUAAUUAAAUUGUACAGGUUGUAAAAUAAAACUUUUUAAAUUUUAUUAGGUGAAUUACAAUUGGAAAAUGUUCAAACGGGCUUAGAUUUUUUUUUUUUUCUCUUUUUUUACAUUUUGGCAUAAAAUUCAUAUAAAGGACUAUAUCUAGGGAAAACUUCAAAUACCCCCCUUGUGGUUUCAUUCGUUCUCAGUUUUCUACCUUAUGGUUUUGCACUUUUUCACUUUAGUACCCUGUGCUUUAAAAUGUAUCACUUUAGAACCCUGUGGUUUCGCACUUUCUCAUUUUAGUACCCUGUGGUUUAAAAACCACAGAAUACUAACUUGAUACAAAAAUAAAACCAUAGGGUACUAACUUGAUACAAAAAUAUAAUCACAGAGUACUAACUUGAUGCACUUUAAACCACAUGAUACUAAAGUGAGAAAGUGCAAAAUCGCAUGGUACUAACUUGAUAAUUUUAAACCAUAGUAUACUUAAAUAAAAAAGUGUGAAACCAUAUAGAAGGUUUUUUGAAAUUUUCCCUUAUAUCUAACAUUUGUUUGUAUUUUCAAGAUUCAGAAUCUAUUAUUACAAUCUUAAUAUUGCGGAAAAGUGUAACAUCAACAUCAACAUCAACAUCAAAGAAUUAAUAAGAUUUUGGAAUGCUUCUCAGAUCAAAUAAAAUGUCCACAUCUUGAAAAUAAAACCAGAUACAUGAAUCGGGAUAAAGAAGAUUCUAGGUUUUAUUAAUACUGGUGUUUGGCUGGAAGAUAGAGGGUGGGGAUAAAGGUUAUCCCCCUCUUGUUCCAAAAUCUUAUUAAUUCUUUGAUGUUGAUGUUGAUGUUGAUGUUACACUUUUCCGCAAUAUUAAGAUUGUAAUAAUAGAUUCUGAAUCUUGAAAAUACAAACAAAUGUUAGAUAUAAGGGAAAAUUUCAAAAAACCUUCUAUAUGGUUUCACACUUUUUUAUUUAAGUAUACUAUGGUUUAAAAUUAUCAAGUUAGUACCAUGCGAUUUUGCACUUUCUCACUUUAGUAUCAUGUGGUUUAAAGUGCAUCAAGUUAGUACUCUGUGAUUAUAUUUUUGUAUCAAGUUAGUACCCUAUGGUUUUAUUUUUGUAUCAAGUUAGUAUUCUGUGGUUUUUAAACCACAGGGUACUAAAAUGAGAAAGUGCGAAACCACAGGGUUCUAAAGUGAUACAUUUUAAAGCACAGGGUACUAAAGUGAAAAAGUGCAAAACCAUAAGGUAGAAAACUGAGAACGAAUGAAACCACAAGGGGGGUAUUUGAAGUUUUCCCUAGAUAUAGUCCUUUAUAUGAAUUUUAUGCCAAAAUGUAAAAAAAGAGAAAAAAAAAAAAAUCUAAGCCCGUUUGAACAUUUUCCAAUUGUAAUUCACCUAAUAAAAUUUAAAAAGUUUUAUUUUACAACCUGUACAAUUUAAUUAUUGUAACUAAUAAAUAUCAUCAGUUAUAUAUUAUUGAUGUGUUGAUGUAUGUUAUACAAAUUAUAAAUCAGGCUAAAAAAUAUCAUAUAAAUUUAUCAAUACGUCAAACGUAUAUUAAAAAAAAAAAUUUUCUUUCUAACGAUUCAACUCAUUCUCCAAAAUUUUAUGGUGUUUGUUUACUCAAACAAAUAAAGUCAUUUUGUACCAUAUAUAUUUAUAUCUCAGAUUCCGUUGGAUUGAAUUGAAAUUGGCCAUGUGAAGAAGUACCAAAAAAAUUAAAAAAAGAAAAUUCUAAACACUGGUUGGUAUUAGCUUUAAAGGCUCUGCUUUUGAAUUUUCAAAAGAUUACAUUACGUACUUUAAGAAAAUAAGUGCGGUUUUAUCAAAAGUCGNUUUUUGGAGUAAAAUGAACCUGAGCUUUUACCUCUAACAAAAUUUUUAAGCAAUUCUUGAGUAAAAAAAUACACUGUAAAAAUUUACAUAGUUCUAAAACAAACAAUUACUGCUAGAAAGAAAAAAGGAACUAAGAAAAUAAAUUAAGAAAAUAAAAAUGUAUAAGACUUACCUUAAGUAUCACCUAUUUUCAUCAGAUUAUCUUAUCUUUAAAAAUUUUUAUUUUACUAUUUAACCUUUAAGUUUAUUUGAUUUGAGAAAUUAGUGACUCUUUAACUUCAAAAUUCGAAUGCGCCGUUUAUAUGCUUAGUCAGCAUAUUUUGUGCAGUUCAUAUAACUAUAAAUUCAUUAAAAUAAAUAACUAGUUUAAAUUUUAUAUCCGAAGAGCAAUCAAAUUAUUUAAAAUUCAAACAAAUUGAAAGAUUGGGUAUUAAAAUCAAAAUUUUGAAAGAUUGAGUAGUCGAAUCAAAAUAGACUGAAGUUCAGGCAAGUUUUAUGCAUUUUCACCAAAUUUUAUUUUCAAAAAAGAGUAACAGUAAUAUACCUCUUUUAAUAUAUUAAUGUCGAAAUUCUACUAAGGAUAAUUAAUAAACCAAUAUCAUUGUUUGCAUGCACUACAAAAACCUCAAUUAACACAGUAAUAUAGCAAUUACAUGCAUCAACAAAAAACAAUGAGAUUUUUACAAAUACCCCUGCAAAUAUGUGAAAUCGCAUAAACGCCCUUACGAAGUUGGUAUUUAUAUGCCCUACUACGGGCAUAUAUGAAAAGAUGCAAAGACGAUGUUGCAUUGAAACCUCUAUUUUUUACCUAGAGGUCCCUAUCAGUGCGCACGCGCAAAUACAUGAGGUUUGUAGGGGCACGCAAGCAAAUACUAAUUUUGCGAGGACAUUUACGCAAUUCACUUAUUUGUAGGGAUUUGUAUGCGAAAAAACCCAAAGAAUUUAGGCAUCAAAAUUUGGACUUCUAUCUCAUAUCAUGCAUGCCUAGCAAGCAAAUGAAUUCGAGCCGCAUCUUCGAUAAAUUUCUCUUGAGUAACUCUAUUCAGUAACUGAUAACGCGAUUCAGACGUCUCCUGCAGCCUCGAGAUCUGCAAGAGAGAAGGUUUAGAAUGAUCGUCGAUGAAUAAAAUAAGGUUGUAGAAACAGAACAGACGAAGAUGCGAGAUUAUGUCAUUCGGAAAGUGCGAGAACUCAUCUAGGUCCAUUGCCUACCUAUUUAAAUGGCAGUAGUCCCCAUGUUCUUAGCUUCUUGAUAGUAAAUAUGAGGCUCCUGAUACUGCAGCAAUCUUGUGAACUGGAAAUGAGGCAUAAGUGAAUUUCGCAUUCAUGCAAGGAAACAUAAACAAAUAGUUCAUUCAAGUGAAGCUGACCUGGGACGCCUUUAAAUCAAGCUCCUUCCACUCCGACGUAGGGUUAGUUCCCUCAACAAUCCCCGCACCAGCAUAGACUAACAUGCUACAUCCCUGCGUUAAAACGAAGACGAUUUCAGUAUGAGACAUUGCCUGGCAAAAACAAUCUCAACAGAAGCAGAAUACUACACCUCAUACAGUUAGAACUGUGAGAAUACUGAAUCUUAGCAAGAAAAGUUAAGGUAAGAAAUGCAGCUGUCGAUGAGUCAUCACAAGUUCCAAUGUAUAAUCUUAUGGCUAACCUAAAUCUCUAGUUUGAGAACACCCAAAUCAUAGUCCUCUAGGUAACACAUAAAAUUCCAAAAAUAAACAUGUUUAUGCUGAAUUCAUAAGCACAUCUAAAUUUGGGAGAUGCUUAAGAGAUGUCUGAUCUAUCUGCGUAUUUAUUAAUCAGUUUUAGACUAUCUGAAAAUCCAUUUGUGAAUUUCAAGUUUCAUCUGAAGACGGUUCAAAAUGAACUCACCCGUUACUCGCUAAAUAAAACAUGUUAGGAGAAAAAAUUUGAAAAAUGCUGACUGUUAACAGUUGAGAGAGCUGACACAGUGCCUGUAAGUAAGCAAUUAGAAAAAGACGGUGAAUUACUUACUUUUCCAAGUAAAGCUGAUCUAAUACCGACAGCAAAUUCACUCUCUGCACCUCCAAACCAACCAACAGGUCCAGCAUACAUUCCUCUAUCAAACAUUUCUAUAAAAACGUAAAGGAAAUUGCCUUUAUUAAACAACACAGUAUUGCUGCGUUUGUCAAACCUUUACACCAUUCCUAUAAAUUAGAACAGACAAUUAGUCUCAAAUUUCAUUUGACAGUUUAAAAAAAAUGUCGCCCAACAUUACAAAUAAACAACUACAAGAUUGAUUUUCACACAUGGAAGUGCAUAUAGAGAAGAUUCUCUUUCAAACAUAUGUGCUUCAGAAAGGUGAAAACAAGUAAAACUAUACAUACCAUUUUCUUCUAUAAAUCGGCGUGCUUCUUCAGUAGGCAAUCCACAAACAGCUGGACUUGGAUGAAGAGAUUUCAAAAUAUCAAACUGCAAAGAAUCACAACAAAUUAAGCUUUCACAAUGCUAAUCAAUAUAACACUCUACGUAAGUUAGCAGCUAUAACAUACACCAGAAGGUUUAGCCCAUCGUAUCGAUACAAGGACUAGACAAGUAUAAGGCACAGCUAAAGCGGCAAAAGCUCUAUAUAUCCUGUGACUUCAAUCUUAAAAGACAAAAGAUCUACAGACUACAGGUUUCUGUGAAUGAUCAUGUUCUCCUUAUCCAUGUUACCUCAUCAUCUUCAUUCCUUAUUGUAGCCGACAAUUGGGCAGACAAAUGUUGUACUCUAGGAAGUUUUCGAAGGGAUUUGCUGGGCUUGACAAGUAUCUUACUGCAGAGAUUCUGCACAAAAUCAUAUUUCAAAUAACCGAUUUCUCAAACAGCAGCAACCAGAAAAUCAUUUGCAAGAAUGGUAAACAUAUAUAACAUUCCCAUGGAAAUCUCGAAACUCAACUUGCCUCCAGUUUAUUUCUUAUGCUCUCCCGUACAAUGGUGAACUCGAUAUUUUCUUUAGGGCUGCAAGGAAACAUGAUAUAAGUAGUUUGCCUCGCAAAAGUUCCCAGCCUAAGUAUAUUAGUGUUCAUAGGCCUACUACUCUUUCUGAAUUAAGAGCGAAAGAAAACCUGAAAAGUAAAUCUUGACCAAUUUGGAUAUCUUCAGACUUCGUCACACCCCUUGCACGUGUACCGGCUAAAGCCUCGGUCGAAAUGCUCAAGUAUUUUCGGUGAAAUAGUUGCUCUGGCUAUUCAGAAAAUUUUUGUAUAAGUGAAUCUAUACUUAGAACAUACAUAAAUACACCUAUACAAUCUAAGGAAAAACUAUUAUUUCAGGUUACUAACUGAUGCUACUAUCAAGAAUAUAUUUUACCUACUGAAUUUGCCCUUUUUUUUUUCUUUUUUCUUUUAUUUAGUCAAACUAUACAGAAUAAUAAUUAGACACAAGAUUCAUAAUUUGAUCAGAUGUUCAAUGUAUGGAAAGUAUUCAGAAUUCAACUUCUCUCGAUCUAAUCAACAUACAGUAUUUCCAAUAAAUGCUGGAGCAUCAGGUGGCUGGAUGCAGAACUGGUAAGCAUUUUGACCCUCGCCCUGAUUUAUUAUAAAAGUGAAUAUUUAAGCCAUCAAAUAAUGUGUUAAAAAAAAAGAAAAGGAGACAGAGGAGGAUCAUACUUUUAAGCAAGCUAAUAAUGCUAUAGGAUCAAUUCCGAUGUCGGUGAUGUAUCUAUUACAUCUUGCCAACACAACCUGGAAAAAAAUAACUACCAUUAAAUGAAAAGCAAUGGCCAACAAAGAUGCCUAUUUUUACCAAAAACAUAGACAAUUACACAAAACCAUCAGUUCGAUAAAAUUUUAUGUCAGCAACAGUACUGCCACUAUUGCUUACGCUACGACUUAAAUAGUGAGUUUUGAAUACAUAAGAGGGUCAUAAAAAAUUAUGACAGCACUCUUUCCCAUAGUAAAUAAUUUAGUUAAUACCUUCACUAGCUCUGGGUCGCUUUCUUUUAUCAUUUGAAGAGCUUUCACGACAGAAACAUCCCAAGAUGCUUUGGUUGGCACGUGAUUAAGACUGAUGAUAUUUGCUUUUGGGCACGGGUCGUUUAAUUUAAGAAAAAGCGGGGAGAUCUGCAUAACAAUAAGGAGGUUAAAAGUAAAUCUCUUUCGGUAUGUUGCAAGAAUGAGGAAGGUUAGAACUUCGAGCAAAAUCCGAAAUCAAAUAUCAAAGGCGAAAUUGUGGAGACUCUCUCAACCAUACUCCAUUUUGAGAUUGGCCCAUCAACUUUAUUUUUUUUUCAACCAGCACCUCCUUGACUUUUGAAUUUUGUGAUUCCUGUUUUUCCAUCUGUAAAACUGGCGAUUCCAUUGAAUUUGAUGGUUCUGUCUGCUUUUCAGUAACGGCCAAUAGCGAAUGAAGCCAUUAAUGUUAACAGAAUCCCAAAUUCGACUAAGGGAAUUAACUCAAAUCAAUAACGUAAAGUAAGGAGUGUAAACCUAAAAAAUAAAAAAUAAAAAAGAAGGGGGGAGAUCUCUCUAAUGGCCUAUAGUACGAUAAUAAAGCGCACAAAUGGAGACCUGCAGCAUGGUUGCCUGAAGCUCAUCCAUUGCUUCCUGCCACGUCCAAAGAAGGGAGUCAUCCCAAGCAAUAGUCAUAGCAAGAAUGGAGCCUUCUUCCAGCUCAUCAAACUCAACCUGCCAUUCGUUUUAAUCUAAAAAUCGAUGAUCAGGUAUUACUAAGCAUGUUAAAUAGAUAAUGAUUUUUACACGGCUAUGCGAGAAUGCGAAUGUAACUACAGUUACGCAAAGUUAAGGAAGAGACAGGAAAAUUCACCUGCGGAACGACAAAGUAAAAGGACCCGUAAUCCUUCCAUUCAGGAGAUACAAUGGCGGUUGCAUCAAAACGGAUUGCACCAUAAGCACGAAUGAGAGGACAAUCUGUCGAGAGGAAUCUGCAUUGAACAAGGGAAGAAAAUACUGUCAGUAACGUAAAGAAAAAUAAAACAUUCAAAUCGAUCAGAAGAGAUAGCAGCCUCAGAAAAAAAAAAAAGGAAAAAAAAAGUUUCAGCAAAUGUUUAUGGAUUCGUCUUUAAGUAGUUAUUUUAGCAUCUACCCUGAUGGCCUUAUGUUUUAAUUUUGAGCAAACAACCUUCAAUGCUGCUAAGGAAAAUUCUCAGAUCACACAAUCAGCAGUUGAUAGUAAUUUUCUAUUUCCAAUCAUUUGGAUCCGGAUUCGCACGUCCAAAAGUUAUAUGCCGCAACCAUUGUUACAAUCCACAAUCAAUAUUAUUUCUUUUUAUUUCAAAGACAAAUCUUUGUUCACUAUCAGAUUUAUCCAGCUGAUAAACUAUUCAUAACAACCUUUGCUUCCAAAGCGUAAAUUUAGAUAAAUUGACAAUAAUAGUAAGAAUAUUUUCAAAACUUACACUCAAAGGGCCAAUGUUUUGUUUCUGUAAGCUCUCACACCGUAACAUAAUGUGUUAAAAAAUCAACUAAGCCGACACCAUAUAAAUUCAAAAAGCAAGUUAUGCAGAGAAACUGUAAACUAUGGGGCCAAAUUUUCACUAUGAUCCCUAAAUCUUAGUUCGUCUCAAUUGAUGGCUCAAAGUUCAUUAAUCGAUUUACAAUCAAGUCCUGGCAUCGACCUCCAUCCAAAAAAGUGGACAGAAGCGUAUCGCGUCAUGAUAUUCACAUAAAAUUAGAGUAUACCCUAGUUGGUGUUAAUCUUGCAGUUGUUUCACAACCGUUUGUCUCUAAAAUCUUAAGCUACCAGAUGGCAACAGUGGUUCAACUUGCGACCGCAAAUUUGCACCAUUUUGAAAGCUGCACACUCGAAUGGCUCUUCACGACGAUAAUGCUGUGCGGCCCGCACUUGGGCCGGCACACUGUUCAGGCGAACAAGACAGACUGGAAUCGAAUACAAGAAAAAUAAAUGAGCUAGUGAGACUUGAACUCAAGACAUUCUGCUCUGGUACCAUGUGAAACAAGUACAGUUGUUUGUCUUUACUUGGUCAAGCAACCAAAUAAGGAUUUUUUUUAUAUUAUAUAGGUAAAAGUGUAUAGAGACCCCCUCAACUAUAGGCCAUUCUUAAAGAGCCCCCUCAACUUUUCUUCUUUUUUUUUGGAUGGAGUCCCUUUCAGCUGUCUUUUUUUUAAAAAAAAAAAUAGGAUUCUAUGCUUAACAAAGUAAAAAAUUUUAUCAAAUUAAAUAACUCUAUUAGUUAUCAACCAUUAAUUGACCUGAUUUUUUAAAAUCGUUAAAUUUGAUAAAACUGCUAAUAAAUUUGAUAAAACUCCCAAAAGUUCGAAUCUCAAUUAAAAAAAAAUUGCUUUGGGGGUUAUUUUAGAAUUACAUAUUGUUGAGGGGUCUUUAUACAAUGUUACUACCGUUAGAUCUACAAUACAAAAUGGGCGGUAAUCCUACCCACCACCCCCAUUUAAAUUAAAAAAUAAAUUUAGUUAGAAAUGUAAAGCAAUUGAAUUUUAAUUUGGAAUCGCGGAACUUUUUCUCUCUCUAAGGAAUGAAGCGGGUGGCGUGCUAUUUUACUUUCUCUGAAAAAAAAAAAAAGAAAAGAAAAGAAAAGAAAAAGAAGAAGAUUUACCGCUUGAUGGACCUCCAGUCGCGGAAGGCGAAGGGGUCGGAGCGGCGGAAGUGGACGGCGGAGCCGACGCCGGCGACGCUGCGGACGGGGGGGCGGCGCGGGCGGCGGAGGCUGCCGCCGUUGCCGGAGAACGGGGGGGAGGCGCUGCCGUCUGCCCCCGUACUUCCCAGAUGACCGCCUGCUGCUCUCUCCGAGAAGAAGCAACGCGGAAGAAGCGCCGCCCGCUGCGCCUGCAGCCACUCGAUCGCCUCCCCGCCCCCCUCCCGGAUCGGAACCUGCCGCCCGCCAUUUAUUAUUAUUUCAAAUUUUAAACAACAGCGUCUAAUGCAUUCAGACAGAAUGAGAUCAAACUUCAAUUUUGUUAGCCCGCCGGGGGGAGCUCCCCAAGGGUUAUUAGCAUCCGCAGGAAGAAAAAGUUCGCGGGUUUAAGUUCACCCACCAUUUUUGUUAAAAAAAAAAAAUAAAUAUAUGGCUAAAUUACAGAAGACCUCCGAUAAUACCGCUUUUUAAUUUUUUUCCAAUCAUUCAAAACCCUACACGUUAAAACCCUACACGUUAUUUUUUAAAAAAAUAAAAAAAUAUUUACAGAGAAUAUAUUGUGAUAAAAUAAUCAAAUUAUCUUUCAUCUUUUUUAGAAUCGGCAAGGACGAAAAGGUGGGCGAGGACGAGGAUAAGGCGGUGGAGGUAGGCGAGAGCGUGUGUGUGGGCAUGGAUAGAGAGAUGGGCGAGAGCGAGGCCACGGAGGGGGAGGCGGUGUGGCUGAGGGUGAGAAAAGAAAAGAAUUUUAAGAAUAUUUUGAAUAUUGAAAAAAAGAAUAUAACAACGAAAGUCAAAAUGAAUAUUUUUUUUUUAAUAAAAAUGUAUAGAACUUAUCUGAAUUACAGACAAUUUCAAAUCUGCUAAUGCAUUCAAUUUAAAGUUAAAGUAUUAUUAACUGAUUUAAACUAAAUAAAUUAAAAAAUUGAAUAAUAAAAUUAAAAUUUUGUAAAGCAUUGUCGUGUGGUGUGGAGCCCCCACUCCCAUGGAAGAGCCCUCGCCGAUUCGGCUCGUCUAAUGAGCAAACUGACAAUACUCAAAUUUGAAAGUUUAAAAAAAGUCAAUUGAAAUAAUUAAUAAUUUAAAUAAAUGCUAUAUAUUUUUAUUUUGUUAAUAAUUUUUUUUAAAAUAAGUUUUAAUCACAAAAAUGCGACACGGACGAGAUCGGACGGAUAAGGUGCGACGCAGGAGAAAGCAGAGCGGAUAUCUUAUCCCGAAUAUUUUAUUCCUAUUGGCUUGGUUCCGAUGUGCUCUAAAUAAUAAUCCAGGUGAUGUUAUAAGUGUUUUUUUAUUAUUAUUUUUUAUCAUAUGCUAGCUUGGAGCUUUAAAUUAAUUCUUUUGUAUUAGUCCAGAAGGGUUAAUUUAGUACAUAUCACUAAAAAUAUAAUAAAUUAUAAAUAUAUUUUUAUUAAGUUUAACUUUUAUAUAUUAUUUUUAUAAAAAUUCUAAUUUUUUUAAAUACUUUCCUGUCAUUAGGAUUCAGUAGAAAAAAUUAGUUAACCAUAAAUAAAAUACGGUAAAUUAACCUUUUUAUCCCUAUUUAAUUAAUAGUUGGGACUUUUAAAACGAUAUAUUUGUGAUGGCAAAAAAUCAUUUCACUUAUCAAAUAAAUAGUAUUUUAACGGUGACAAUUCAGAAUGACAUAUUUGAAAAUAUUAAGAUUUUUGUAGGGACAAUAUAUAAAAGUUAAAUUUCGUAGGGAUAUAUUUAUAAUUCACUAUAUUUGUAGGGAUCUAUAUGAAAUUAAACCAGUCUAUAAUAAUAAUUUUGUGUGAAUACUGAAUUUUACUCAGAACUAUGCUUUUAUACUUUCGAAAGUAUGAAAAUUUUCGUGCUUGUAAGUUAAUUUUCGAUGAUCAGAUAUUCGAUUCAGCGAUUGAUUCCGUUAGAUAUGAUCUAUACUAUUGGAACUAUCUGCAAACUAAAUUUUAUAACUUUUUAACUUUAUUUGUCUAGUAAAAGAGUAAUCUAAAAAUAAACGUUUGAAAAUAAAAAUUUCAUAAAAAAAUAAUGAUAAAGACUCAAAAUUAAACUAAAAAAUAUUGAUCUUACUAUUGAUGUUAAGUAGAAUUUUUUAUUAAAAUUUUAUGUAAUUUAGAUUGUUCUACACCGUUGAACUUAAAAACAUGCCUCAUCGAUAGUUAAAAUAGUCAAUUUGAGAUUUUUUGAUCGCGUGGUAAAUAAUACCGAAAAAUUAUAAAAUUUGGUUUCUAAAUAGUUUCAAUAACGUAGAUUAUGCCUAACGAAACCGAUCGAUAAAUCGAAAGUCAUAUUAUCGAAAAUAACUUACAAACACAUAAACUUCCGUACUUUUGAAAAAAAACAGAAGGCAUACUCGUUCAUUCCAACCUAUAUUAUUUUAGUCAAAAUAAAAAAAAAAAAAAUAGUAUUAUUUAAUUUGAAAGAUUUUUUAUAAAUGGAUGGAUGGAGGGUGGGAGGGACGGGUGGAUAGACGGACGCAUUGUUACCUCGACCCGUAUAAUGCCGGAGCGGCAGCGCGGGGGGUCGGCGUUGAGGGCGGCCACCGCCGAUCCGAGCUGCGCCGCCGCCGACUCGGCGGUGGAGACCGCCGGCAGCGUCCGCGUCUCGCAGAUCGCCAGCGGAGCUUGCUCGCCGCCGCCGCCGCCGCAGCCGUUCAUCGAGAGGGAGCACGGCCGAUACAUCGCACCCGCCUGCCACGUCAGCACUUAACCGGAUUCGGAAAACGAGAAGAGAGAGAGAGGGGAGUGGAAUGAGAGGCUUACGUGGCGGCGGGAGGAGGCGGCGGCGAAGGGGAGGCGGCGUACGGCGGAGUUUGCAGCGGCAGCGGCCAUUGGAGAGAGAGAGAGAGAGAGAGAGAGAGAGAGAGAGAGAGAGAGAGAGAGAGAGAGGGGGGGAUGGUUUUGUGUUGCAGUUGCGUCAGUGGAAAGGGAUAAGAAGAGGAUGAGUGAGUGGGCCUGUGCUGUAAUUGCAGUGCUCUCCUUUUUUUUGUUCGCACACAGCAUUUCUCGUUCACGGGGUAACAGAAUUCUACUUUUUGUCACAUUUGUAUAGUUCAACGGCAACGUCAUCAAGUCAUCAUAGCCUCCACUUUUAAACCAAAAAAAAAUUAAAUAAAUAAAUAAAUAUUGAGAUGCUAAGCUGUAAGGUUUUAUUUGAGAUUGUAGAAAAAUAGUGUUACGUACGCUUAAAACAUGGGUGUAAGGCUUUUGUACAUUGUUUUUGCCUCCCAAAAAAUUGUCUAAGAAACAUUUAUUUAUAUAUACUUCAAAAAACUAAUGUUAUUAAAAAGAAAAAAGAAUCUCCACAUUCCUAUAAUAACGCACAUUAUUGACAAAAUUUCGUAAACUAAGAUGCAUGAAUCUGAAGACGAUUCUAGAAUUCACUGGCACCAUCUUAGGAAAGCACAACCAUAUUUAACAACAACCAUAAUUUAUGCUAUAAUAAUAACAAAGAAAAUCAUCAAUCAAACACUACUUAGCCGUUCCUGAGUCCAAACACGCAAUUCACACCUAAACACCUACUCAGCGUUGUCUCCUCGUAUUCAUUUUCUUCUCCGGUUUAGAUCCAAAUUUCACAACAGAUGAACAAAAACAAUAAAACUCUCCUCAUCAGAGGUCAAGAUGGAAAACAAUCAAAACAAAAAAAGAAAACACACACAUCAGAAUAUCAAUACAAAGUCAGGUAUCGCCAUCAAAAGAUGCACUAGAUGCAAGGAUAGUUUGUAGCAUGAAAAAUUAUUUCACAGCACCGACGUCGAAACAAGAAAUGCAAAGUCCCAGCAUUGCUUUUGAAAAAUAGUUUCCGAGGAGAGAGAAAUGGAAAGCUCAUGAGAAAUCAAAAUGGUGCUACCGAAAAUUAACAACCCUUGGGAGGGGGGUGGUGAUUGGUUUGUUUCCCCCAAAUAAUUUAUUCCAUUCCACCACAAGCUGAAAUGGAAGCAACAUUCCAAUAUGGUUCCAAAUUCUCUUUUUUCUUUUUCACUUUUAUAUUCUUCCUGUUUUUUUUCCCUGAAAAUCAAGGCUUGAGAACGAGAGACAGGCCGACCUUGGAGCUUUUCUCGAUCGCCUUCGUGUCCACCUCGGCCGAGACGGUGAAGAACGACUUGGGCCGCCACUCGUGCUGGAUCAGCGCGCUCGCCUUGCCGAAGUUGUUGAAACGGGCUUUUACCGUGGUGAGCGGGUCCAGCAUGUGCUGGGUCCCGAAGGUGAGGGUGUUCUCGUUGGUCGAGAAGCUGUGGGUCAGCUCCGCCCCAACCGCCGUGCUCGACAGUGGGGUCACCAGGUGGUAGUAGGAGGCACUGAGGCUGUCGCCCUUGUUGUUCCUGUAAGCAAAUUUGUGAGCGAGUUAGGUGAACAACAUUACUAAGCAUCACAAAAUCUGAUAACGUAUACUGAUAUCAUCAUUACAAAAUCUGGGAUGCGUAUUACAAAAAAUCAUCAUGGAUAAAAUGGGCAAGUCGCCAAGUAGUCCCUGCCCUUUCGUCUUAUUAUGACACAUGAUGAAGACCUGAGCCCUUGUUUGGUUGGGGGUUAAGGGGUGGAAUAACCCCUUAACCCCCAUUUUAUCCCCAAACACUCCAAAAAAUAGCUGGGGUUAGCUAACCCCACCUCAAAUAAAUUAUCCCGGGUUAGCUAACUCCACCUAACCCCACCAAACUCCAACCAAACACUAUUUUAUAUUCAUAAUAACUCACAAUCUUUCUUAUCACACCUACUUCAACCAAUCAUUAUCCUUCUUUAUCAAUCAUUAUCUUCUUAUCCCACCUACUCCAACCAAACACUAUUUUUUAUUAUUCUAGACUAACUCCAACCCCCAACCAAACACAAAAAAAUUUUAACCCCACUUUAACCCUGAACUUAACCCUAUCCCUGGAAUAGCUACUUUUUCCUUAACCCCGAACUAAACGGAGGCUGAAAGUUUUACCUAAAAAUGAUUAGGUCCUAAUUUGACCUGAUUUUGUAACGUUAUUUCGAGGUCAAUUUUGUCCAAAAAUCCCUCGUGUCUAUGUUAGGAGAUGUGCACUUGACAUGUUUAUAGCUAAAGGUUGUUAAACAAAGCGCAGGCAAAUGUGCACAUUCCACGUUAAGGUCUUCCUUUCACUGAAAACAAAUUCAGAUAUUACAUUGCAGAAAUAAAAUAAGAUUCAGGCCAAUCUGAAUAUUUAUAAAGCAAAUUGUUAACAAGUCAAAAGUUUAAGGACUAUCAAUAGAUUUAGCACAUUCUUCAGCAAACAUUUUAAGUGAACAACUCAAACUGUUUUUAAAUUCAAAACUUCAACACCCCCAUAUUACCGCAUAAUAUAAGUCAUGAUGGUUUAUAAAGCCUUGGUGUGGCAUACAAACAACCUAACACACAAUGUUUUAGAGUCACUUACAGAGUCAAAGCGGCAAUAAGGUCUUCCUUAGUGAGGCUCAAUCCAGCAUUAUACUUGGUGAAGUUCCCGCUAGCAGUAUCAAAUGAAACAUCAGCACCAACAGCAAAAGCUUUACUUCCAACAACACUAGAAAGGUUAACAAUCGGAUUGGCAGUCAAUCCAAUACUAGCAUUUACUCCAGCAUAGUCAUGUAAAUACUGAAGUUCAACCUGAAAUAGCAAGGAAUACAGUGAAAUCCAUGUGGCCAUUUAAUCGAAAAAUUUAUUCAAUUUGUGGAAUUGAAAAUGAAAAAGAAAGUUAGUUUACCUUUCCAGACCUCUGAUCUGGGACCACGAAGCUGAAAAUUGACUUCAGUCCUGGUGUGGCAAGCUCAUCGAUUGUAACUGUUGCUAAAAGCUGGUAGAAAGUGCAAAAUAAAUAACUAUUUAAUAAUGGAUUAGAUAAAUUUUUGAAGAACAUAAUGCUUCGAAUAUUAUAAUCAGUUAAAGAAAAAAGUGUGUUAUAAGAAAAUGCGCCAAAGUAUCACACAUAUAGCAAGUAGGUAUAAUAAAAAAGCUAAAAGAGAAAGACAGAAAGACAGCUUUUUUGGGGGAAGGAGAGAAGGUUGGGACGUUACACUUGAGUCCGAGUUUGCUUUCACAUCAACUGUGAUAUUUUUGUUCUUUAGCUGCGACUGAAUCUCACCAAAAAUAAAGUCAUUUUUCUUUGUGCCUGAAGCAGUAAUUGCCUGCAAGGAGUAACAAAAGACUAUUACAUAACCUACACAAGUCAAAGUGCAACAUCCAGAUAGAAGGAGACAUGAAAAUCAGCUAAACAAAUCUUAAAUACAAAGUCAAGGAAAAAAAUAUUAAUUAAAAAAUAUUAAAAAUAAAUGUGAAAAACUAAGACGCCUUACUUUACAACUUCUAAUAGGCAGAAUGCGUGAAAAGAUAGAUUUAGACAUUCGAAAAUAUUUAGUAGAGAGAGAGAGAGAGAGAGAGAGAGAGAGAGAGUUUUGGACUAUAAGAUGGGCAUAAUUUAAACGCUGGACUAUAAAGUACAGCGGGCAACAAGACAUUUAGAUGAUUCACACCUGUGGGAAAAACCAAGUUCAUACACAAUAAAAUGAAUGACAAACAAUAGGAAAAUAUGCUGAAUGCCCAUAUAAGACAUGCUUGUAUAGAAGCAUUUUAUACAAGUUUUCCUACAAAAAGAAAUAUGAGUAAGAAAUUCCAAGGUAUUUGAGAUGUGUUUCAGUUUGUUAUACAAUAAGUUAUACAUUUCCAGUAGAAAAAACACUUAUCAUUCGUAAUGCGCUGUAGACAUUAUUCUACACAGACUCCAUUCCUAAGCUGGCAUUGGCAACAAGCAGAUAACAAGAAUUGAAGUCAGCAAGAGCAUAGCACAACAGGCAAUUCUUAGUCAAUCUGUUAUGGCCAUCAAAUUUUAUGGGUGAUCUAUCGAAUGUUUGAACUAGCAAAUACUUAAAAACAAUUUCCGACAGUUAGGAAUGCAUGGACUGUGUCAUCUGCAAGCCCAAGUUAAGAUGCAAAACCCUUUAAGCUUAAUCUUCUGAAAUAAAUGAUAAGCUACAUUCUAAAUAUGCUAUGCGUCAAAAUUUGCAUUUAUGGUCUGCAUACAUGUAAAAUAAUGACAUUCUAUUCUCAUUUAAGCGUAACUAUUAUACCCAUAAAGAAAAGGAAUAACUACAGAUCACAUUCCUUGACAGCUUAAAAGAUGUAUUAUCUGUUUCAAUGGGUCCGAUUCCCUAGCCACCAUUAUAAAUGUUUUCAUCUUUACGCACAAAACCUAGGCAAUAAAGACACGUUCGUGGGCAACAAAAUGUUUCAAUAAGAGUCCAUAAGAUCACUAUUCAAAAAAUUUAGGCUUUUAAACAUUUCCAAAAAUACCCACAUUGCAACGAGACAACAACACAACUUGGUGCACUUUUUAGUAGAUAAUGAUUUAAGAUAUAAUAUAAUUAAAUAAUUCUCUCUCCAUAAUGUAUCCAUGUAAUAAAAGUUAAGUAGAACAUUCAAUUAAAGCGAUCUUUACUGAAAGGUCCCACAUGCAAAUCAACAAACCCGCCCAUGAUUUAAAACCUAAAAUCUCACUUAAAUUCAUGCUCUUUUUGGACCGAAUACCAGCGAAACAAUUAAUCAAACAUUUAUUUCUUAGUUCCCGGAAACUUUAUGGUAUUGAACCCAACAUAUCACACCAUGUUAGUGUAGUUAAAAGUGACCUAACCACAAAAUCGCAAAGAAGUAACCCAUUUGUUCGCAUAUAUACAGCUCAAUCAUUACAAGAACAAAACCCUGCACAUCUCCCACAGAUCGAUCACAACUAUAGCCAUAAUGCAAAAUGCCGAUCACCCUAAAAUUAUAAAAAUAAACUAAAAAUGAUCAAAAAAUUGAAAAGAAUUAAGCACUCACGACUCCAGUCGAGGUGUAGGUCGUGACUGUGAACUUCUGAUCCGUGUGGUAGUCCUUGUAGAGGAGAUCUACACGAAAUCGACAAAAAUAAACAGAAAAUCGAUCAAAAUAGAUCAAAUCGCAUAAAAAAAACACCGAAUUAACGCAAAAAAAUUAGGGGAAAUUAAUACGAAUUACCUCUCGCUUUCUUGCCGAUCUCGGAGUAGAGACCCGGCCCCAUCUCCCCUUCGAUCGAGAUCAAAGAGGAAACCCUAAAAACCAAUCGAGACGAAGAAGCGGCGGUGGGGAGGGGAACGAAAUAGGAGGGAGAAUUUAUACGGCGGAGACUAAACGAUAGAAACCCUACCCCUUUAUAGGGUUUAUAUUAAUAUAGAAUUUACGAAAUGAGCAAAUAGGAUUAUACUAGUGCAAUCGUAAACGAAUCCUAACCGUUCAGUACUACCUUAUUUUGACGGAUGACAUCGAGGUAGGUUCUUCUCUUUUUUUUCUUUUUUUUUUCCGGUGGGUAGGGAUGUAAAUGGAUACAGAUAUCCGAAAUUUUAUCCGAAUCCGAAUCCGAAUGGGCUAAAUGGAUAUAGAUUCGGAUAUAGAUAUUUAAAAAUAAAAAUCCGACGAAUAUGGAUUCGAAUAUGAAUCUUGACUGUACCCGAUCCAAAUCUGAACCCGACCCGUACCCGAAUUUAUUUUGCAUUAUAUAUAAUAUAUGUAUAAAAAUUUAAUGUUAUAUUUAAAUUUUCUUUUAGCCCUUGUUUGGUUGGGGGUUAAGGGGUGGAAUAACCCCUUAACCCCCAUUUUAUCCCCAAACACUCCAAAAAAUGGGUGGGGUUAGUUAACCCCACCUCAAAUAAAUUAUCCCGGGUUAGUUAAUCCCAUUUAACCCCACCAAACUCCAACCAAACACUAUUUUCUAUUCAUAAUAACCCACUAUCUUUCUUAUCACACAUACUCCAACCAAUCAUUAUCUUUCUUUAUCAAUCAUUAUCUUUUUAUCUCAGCUACUCCAACCAAACACUAUUUUUCAUUAUUCUAGAUUAACUCCAACUCCCAACCAAAUAUAAAAAAACUUUAACCCCACUUUAACCCUAAACUUAACUCUAUCCCUGAAAUAGCUACUUUUUUCUUAACUCUGAACCAAACGGAGGCUUAAAAAUUUAGAUUUAAUGUAAUAUAUUUUGAAAUAUUGUAAAAAAUAAUUGUUUCGGAUUCGAAUAUAUGCGUUCGGAUUCGAGUUUUAAAUUUUGAUCAGAUUCGAGUUUGAAUAUGAAUUUUAAAACCCGUCCGGUUCGCAUUCAGGUUCGAAUCUCAGAGGAUUCGGGCUCGGAUUUUUGAAAAUCGGCCCCAAAUCCUACCCGCUGACAGCUGUGUGCGCUCCAACACGUUCCAGAGUUGGCAUAGAUAAUAUUGACCGUCCGAUGUCGCGUGAUCGUUGAUUUAUGACCGUUGGAUUGAGAUCGUGGGAAAGAACGGUAUUUCUCAGGGAAGAGGAAUAUACGCCGCAUCAUCCCUUUUUAAUAGAGGAUAGAGGAUAUAUAAAGGUUUAAAUAAUUUUUAUUUAGCUAAUACUUUUUUAUCUUUUAAAUAUUGUUUCAAUUUAAAUAUUUUUAAAAUUUAAUUAAAACUGAGGUAUAUUAAUAGUUUGAUAAAUCUAUUUUAAAAACAAUAAUAAAUAUUUCCGUUAAAUUUUAGAUAUGGAUCCGGUUGCGAUGAUAAUACGAUUUCAGCACAAAAAAUUAUCUACAACAAUACUACAAAAGGCUAAACAUAAAGUUACCUAUAGACUAUUUUGAAUGUCUAAUAUAUUUGUAUAUUAACUAAAUCUAUGAAGACAAAUAUCACAUUUAAAAUUUAAAGUCAAUGUGUCAUUAACUAACAAAGAUUAAACAAAUUGAAAGGAGUUAAAUCAAUUUUGAGAGAUUCAAAAUGAUCCAUAGAGUAAACUCUGCACGUUUUUUUGUACCUUAAAAAGAAAAAGGAAUUAACAAUUCUAUGAGUAUUAUCUGGUACCAAAUGCAUAUGGCUUAUCCACACCUUGACAAUACCAUCUUGCAAAAAUGGCAUGAACUAAGAAAGAAACCAACACUCUCAACUAACAAAGAAGUUCACACUUCAUGAACAAACUAAAGCUGAAUGAUCCUCAGUUGAUAGUGUUAUUGGCCUGCAGGAGACCAUCUCUUAUUUGCGCCGCAACGUCUCGAACGGCGCCCGGCCCGUGGGGGAUGAACACCGAGGUGGCCUUCGACGCGGCACCGAUCUCCUUCAUCGUGUCGAAGUAUUGCGUCACUAAGACCAUGUCCAUAACAUCCUUUGCCGAAGUGCCCGGCACGUUCUCGGAGAAGGCGAGCACGCUGUUCCUGAGCCCGUCGACGAUCGCCUGGCGCUGCCGCGCGAUCCCGAGGCCCGCUAAGUACUUGGACUCCGCCUCCCCCUCCGCGCGCUUGAUCUGAAGAAUCUUCUCGGCUUCCGCUUUCUCCUUCGCCGCCAGCCUCAGCCUAGCAGCUGUUACAGAACAUUGAUACAACAGUAAAAGUAAAUAUUUCUCUCCCAGUAUUUGCCAAACACUGCAAACAGAUAACUGCAGCGAAAAGCGAAAGAAGUAGCAAGGACCAAACAGUCCAAAAGUGUGAAAUUUCGCAUUAUUUCACAUGAUAUCAGAACAUGAGGUUCCGAGUUCGAGCCACGUCAGGCUUCUAGCAUUAUUAAUUUACUUCCAUUUAAUUCAAAUUCACAUCACGGGUCUUGCAAAAAGUCAAGAGUCUAGACGUGAGAGAGAGUGUUAAAUAUAAAAAUAUAUAAACGUCGUUCUCUAACAGCUUAAACUUUUAAAGUACAAUGGUUAUUUCGUAUUAUUUCACACAAAGAACUGCUAUAAACUUGCCUGCAUUGAUCUCGUUCAUCGCUCUCUUAACGUGCUCAUCAGGCUCGAUAUCGACUAUGAGGGUUUGAACUAUUUUGUAUCCGUAAGCCGACAUUGCCUAGAUCGCAAAGAAUCUAGGUUAAGAAACUCGUAAACAAAACAGCGUAAAAAAAGAAGAAGAGAGAGAAUAGAUUGAUUAGAUACCUUCUCAAGUUCAUCUUCGACGGCUUUUGCAAUAUCGUUUUUUUGCUCGAAUACAUCGUCUAUAUUCAGCUUAGGGACGCUAGCCCUGAUGACUGUAUAGAGAAUUUACAUUUGUCAGCAUUUACUACUGAUAAAAAAGAAAGUUAAAAAAAAAAAAAAUGAAGUUCAAGUACUCUAAGAAAAGCUACAAGUUUCUAAAUAUUUAUAUUAUGAACUAUGAGACUCGAAUUGGAAAAAGGAAACACAUUCAAAAAGAGAGAGGAUUCGCCGCGCUGAUUGAAACACUGCUUACCAUCAAAAACAUAGGAUUGAAUCUGCUUGCUCGGGUUGCUAAGCCUAUAGAAAGCGUCGGCGGCCCUACCAGCAAGAACAUGGUAUUGAACGGAUGCGACGACAUUGACAAACACGUUAUCCUGAAGCACAAAAAACUUUAUAAGAAACUAUAGCUUCAAAAGGCUAUGAUUUGCAUGCGAAACUAAUGACAUUUAUUAAUCCUGACAGAAAAAAAAAAGAAUAAAAUUAAGUCGAUUUGAGAGAUAUCCUUAGCUUUUUAAUUGUUUUUCUUUUGCAUAUUCCAAUCUUAUCAAAACUAUAGUCUCAAAGAUUCAAGUGUGUCAAUGUCCUUGCGAAGUCAUUUACGUACACAAUAGAGAAUCUGAGUUUACACACGCUCCUUCGCAAGCACUUUUUCUUACAAAAGUACGUUAUCUUAAGUUGAGGAAGCCGAUUUAACGGGGAAGUUGGUUUUGAAUCAGAAAAAGUUAUCUAACAAGGAGCAUACAAUAAGUGCAAGGGUCAUACGUUUUUAAGGGCAUGUAUGAUUAUUCAGAUAGUGCAGGGCUAUGUACUUAGAUAGAUAAUAUAUAUAACAAACGCGAGCGAACGUGCGCGCGCGCACACAGAAACAGAGAAUAACCUUCGUCUUUGUUUCGCAACGGACAUCAAGUUGUUGAACACGCAACGAAAGACGACCCGCAAUCUUCUGCCCGAAGAUCCAUGGCAAGCAGUGACAUCCGGGAUCAAGCGCCUCAUUAUAUUUCCCGAACCAUUCCUUGAUGGCUACCGUUGACUGCUCGACUUGGACGCAACAGAAUGUCUGCCCCAUUUUGUUAACUACAGAGAGAAGAAUCCAAAAAAAUAAAUAAACAACUUGCUAUUAACUAGCAUGAUAAAUGUUCACAUUCGGCGUAUCUGACAGUUCGUCAGUAAGGCUUAAAAGCAAUAAAUUUCCUUCAAGAUAAUCAAAACCUACAGCAAACCGUAACCUAAACUAACACGAUGUUAAUCGAUACUGUACCUCUGUUCUUUUUCAUAAAUUGAGGGGUUAUCUAUAGGUUUCAAUUAUCAAGUAAAGUACAGAUCCACAUAUCCAGGCUAGUUAUCUCGAUUUAAGUUCAAACUUCGAUUGCGUUCCUCUGGCGAGGCUUCGAAGCAGCAACUAAAAAGACUAGAAUUUACAAUCAGUUUCAGACUCUGAAACGAUGAUUCUCGUACUUCAAUUUCGUAAGAAUUUGCACAUUGCAUAAUAUACUAUGAAUUACCGCAAGAUUAAGUCACAGAACCAUAACAGAAAUUUUUUACAAUGGAUAGCAAACCGUUACUGUGCGGAAUUCAAAAAAGUGAUAAUCAGAAUAUUGACAGGGAGUCAAACUUCAAAAGCACAAUACUGGAGAUGACUCAGAAUUGAUGCAUACAAGAUGAUCAAAGAUAUAAGUACAUCAGAAUAAUGAUGGUUUGGUGGAGCUUUGAGAUGGCUUCAAUGUUCAUGAAAUCGAAGACCUAUCUCAACAAUUAUAUAUAUAUAAUCACAACUCAAAUCGUCGAUUGAUCAAAAACCGCGUAAUUGAAUCCUAAAAUUUUCUAUCCAUUCAACAUCGAAACCAAGGAUUUAAGUACCCAUCAGCAGGGACUGUAUCUACUGUGUUGUAUUGUGCCAAUAAAAUAUCGACACGAUACAGCCCAUAUGCCAAUGAAACAACUCAAAAUCUUAUAUUCUUUAAAUUAGUAAGUAAAUUUCAAGUUUAAAAACUUCGAUAAAAAUAUAUAAUAACCGGUUAGAAUAUUUUGUUGCUAAAAAUAAUAAUUAUUUCAUGCUAUUAUAUUUUGGCACGCAUGAAUUUUUGGUGACCGGCACGCAUUGGCGUAGCCCGACACGUACCAUAGCGAAAACUUGCCAUACCGUGCGAGCAAAUUACCGGCACGGUCCCGUACCAUGACGAUUAAAUCCUUGAUCAAAACUAAAAAUUCUUAAAGCAAUUGUACACAACCCAACGCAUCAAUUUCUCACCAAAAAAAAAAAACCAAUUUUGAUGUAAAAAUUACCGAAAAGGAGAAUAAUAAUAGUAGAAUUAAAGAGGUUAAGGGGUCUCUCAUACCUAUGGACGACGAUAGAAAAAGCACGAAGGGUUCGAGAAAUUAAAAAGUUAAUUAAUAUUUAAUAUUAUAAUAAUAAAAUUAAAAAAACCACACGGCUAGGGUUUUAUAGAAGAGUAGGGAGAGAGAGAGGAUAGAGACGAAGGGGUUUUGAAAGAUUCGGAGAUUGUCGUACGCCGAAUUAAUCGACGAAUCAGUGAAGAGCGAGAGCAAAGCAAAUUGUUCGUGAACCGGAUGCACCUUGCACCGACAAUCGUAGCCGCACAUUAGCUGCGAGUUUAAAAAAUGGGAUGAGAUGAACGGUCGAAAGGUACGGUGCAUCAAGGGCGAAGUGUGAACCUGGUUCACGAAAAUGUUGCGAUCGUUAGAGUAAGUGUUAACUAACUAACAAACCAUGCAAUCCGCACGCUAUAUUAUAUUUUAGUACCCUUAUCUUUAGCAUUUUUACAAAUAGAUCCCCGAACUUUUACUUUUUUUUUCCUGUGAGAUUAGAUUUCAUAAAUCUCAGGACGAACUUCCACAAGAUGUUCUCUUAUAUUAGUUUGCGAUAAGCUUGGCAAUCUAGCUCGCUGCUCGCAAGCCAACCCGUGUUCGGUUCGAAAUGAGUUCGAGAUCGACCAUUCGUUUAAUAAAUGAGCCAAACACAAUUUAAAAUUUUCAACUCAAAAUUUUAACGAGCCAAACAGGAACUAGAGUAAGCCGGCUUGUGCUCGGCUCAAUAUAGACUAUUUGAAUUUUAGUCCAACUCACAUAUAAAGAGGCCUAUAUUUUAUAAAUUUUAAUUACUAAAUUCUAAGGUUUGAGUUUUCUUUCAACUUUUCGUCGAGCCGUGUGGCUGACAAUUGAACUUGAUGUUCACGAGUUAGUUCGUGCUCGACUCGUUAACAAACAAACUGAACACAAAUUAAAUUUUUUAGCUCAAUAUUGAGCGCAAAUUAUAUUAUUGCAAAUCAUGGCUAGAUGCUCUGACAAUAUCAACUCAAUUUUUGGAUAGAAAUUAAUGGUUAUAUAUGAAUAUGAAUUCAGGUACUUUGAUGCUACAACGCAGUUAAUGUCCCUCACUCAAAUCCUAGCACAGUAGCACCUUGUCUCUACUCUCUGGUAAUUAGUUGCAUGAAAAGAAAAAUCCUUAAUAUUCUUCCCAUUAGAUAUUGGUUGUUGUAUUAGGAUCUCACAAAAUCCAUAAAAAUGCAUUAGGUUUUCACCUAUCCAUCUAACAAACUUAUUUAUCUGUUUCAAUAUCUAUAAAAUUCUUCUACAAUUUUAUUUAUUUUUAUUUUUUUUUGAGAGAUAGGUUGCACGCUACCCGCUUUGUUUAUUUCAUUUAGAAAUAAACUUAGCUGGAAAUAAUAUAUAAAUAUUUAUCUUAAAAAGAAAAGAUUUUGAAUGAUAAAAUAUUUAAUAAAAAAUAAAAUAUUAAUAGUUGGAGAAAAAAAGAUGAACUAAAAAUUUGUUUCGUUACGUUCUUGCGUACAAAAUAUUUUUUUUUAAAUUAAUGGGUUUGUCAACAGAUCAAAAUUUGAACUAUAUGCUUUUAUAUAUAAUAUAUGUAUAGAUAUCUACCUUAUGAAAGUCCGUGGUACUUUGUCCACGUGGCAACAUUAUCUUAAUUUAAUUUUUAUGGACCCUACCUGUCAGCCACACUAAUAAUAAUAAAAGUGGACCCUACCUGUCAGCCACUCUAAUAAUAAUAAUAAUAAUAAUAAUAAUAAUAAUAUUAGUUUUAGAAAAUCUAACCCGCCCCUACGCCCUUCCGCCUCCUCUUCUUUCGUUUUUUUUUUAUUUUUUAUUUCCCCCAAGCCGCCCUACGCCCUUCCGCCUCCUCUCAUUUCUUUUUCCUUUUUUUUCCCCAAGCCGCCCCUACGCCUCCCAGAUGGGCUCUGCAGGCGAAGGCGGAGAAGUCGACGGCGUCACACCCGGCGGAGAAGGAGGCGGCGGAGCAGCACAAGCAGGAGAGGAUCGACGAAGCCGAGGCCACCAAGCGGGAGGCGGUGACGGAGCGCCACCACGACGCUGCCGCCGCUGCCGCCGCCGCCGCCGCCGCCCGCGGUGGCGGUCAUGUUAUCGGGUGCCAGGCGGCGGGAGGGUACGUGGAGCCCGGCGUGGCGGAGUCGCAGCCGAUCGCCAUCGCGACGGGGAUGGUGCGGCCGUCGGCGGCGCACAACCCCCGCGUCGGCAGCGAACACCCGGAGCCCCGUGGUACCGGCAAAGGAUACACUUGAACUGAACUAAGGCGUCGGUUCCGGCUGGGGAGAGAAUAUAUAGGAAGAGCCAAAGGGAGAAGAGAAGGCCUACGCCGACACCUAAGCCGAUGCCGACGUCAGGACUCACCAGAAUGCUGGUCUUCCUCGGCGGAGCGCUCUNUAUUCGACUCGAAAUGAGUUCGAGAUCGAAUCGCUCGUUUAAUAAACGAGCCGAGCACGAGCUGAAAUUUUCAGCUCGUUUAAUAAACGAGCUGAAUACGAGCUGGGGUCAGCUCGUUCGUGUUCGGCUCGAUAACGACUCGAAUACAUAUAUUUUAUAUUUAUAUGUAUAAAUUAAUAAUUAUAUAUGCAUAUAUAUAAAUUUUUAUUAUUUGAUAUUUCGCCGAACCUAAAUAUAAAAUCCAACUCAAUUAUAAAAUAAUUUAUUUAUAUGUAAAAUUUUAAUCAUUAAAACAAAGUAUAACAUAUAAGAUCUUAUAAAUUUAUUUUAUAUAUAUAUUCUUUCUAUCCUUUUAAAAUCUUAUUCAUAAGCCAGCUCGUAUUCGGCUCGUUACUAAACGAGCCGAACAUGAGCCGAAUUUUUCGGCUCGAUACUUUAAGGAGCCAGGUCGUACAAGCCGAAAACACAAGCCAACCCCAACUCGCUCGUGUUCGGCUCGUUGACACCCCUAAUUAGGGGUGGCAAUCCUGUCAAAUUCUUGCGAACGAAAAAAAAUUUCUAUCGUCCCCGUCCUCACGGGGAUCUUCUUCCCCCGCGUGACUCCGCGAAUUUUUUUAAAUGCAAUAAAUUAAUUUUUAUAAAAUUUUAUAAAAUUUAAUUUUAUUCUAAUUCUAAUCACCUUACGUGUUAUUGAAUUAUUAAGUUUAUUUUUUUCUUUCAAUGUCAAAUUUUUAAGUGUGACUCAUCAAAUUACUAAAAUUGUAUAUCAAUAAAAUAUUAUUUAAGUUUAACUAGUAUAUUGUCUAAAAAACUAAAUAUGUUAAAAUAUUUAAUUAAAUUUAAAAUAUAUUAAAAAUAUUAAAAUUAGUUUUCUAUGUUUAUAAAUAAAUUAAUAAUAUAAUACAUUAUUGGACCGGGUGGUGAGUAAUAUCCCCGGCCCCGACCCGUCCUAUCCUAAUCUUAAUACAUAAAAAAAAGGGAAAACUUCAAAAACCCCCCUGUGGUUUCACACUUUUUUAUUUUAAUACCCUGUGAUUUAAAGUGUAUCAAGUUAGUACCAUGUGGUUUCGUACUUUAUCACUUUAGUACCCUGUGGUUUCACACUUUUUUAUUUUAAUACCCUGUGAUUUAAAGUGUAUCAAGUUAGUACCAUGUGGUUUCGUACUUUAUCACUUUAGUACCAUGUGGUUUCAUACUUUAUCACUUUACUACCCUAUGGUUUAAAAAAUCACAGGAUACUAAUUUGAUACAAAAUUACUUUACUAUCCUAUAGUUUAAAAAAUCACAGGAUACUAACUUGAUACAAAAUUAAAACCAUAGGGUACUAAAGUGACAAAGUGCGAAAUCACAGGGUACUAAAAUGAUAAAGUGUGAAACCACAGGGUACUUAAGUGAUAAAGUGAGAAACCACAGGGUACUAACUUGAUACAUUUUAAACCACAGGAUACUAAAGUGAAAAAAAUUGAAACCACAAGAGAGUUUUUUGAAGUUUUUCCUAUUUAAUUUAACACUAAGUUACAACUUAGUACACUAAGGCUUAGUUUGGUAUUGAAGCCUAUGUAACGCUAUUAGAUAAAAUGGGAAAAAAAAAACAUAUAGGAUAUGCUUCUGCGUUCUCCAGUGGGACCGUAGAAAAUAUAUCGUAACCGACUCAUCGCGAUAUGCAAAACGCAAUAUUACGUACGAAAAUAAAUAUGCUAUUUUUCCAACAUACUUUUUCACCGCACGUAACGCAAUCUCCCUGCAAUUUCAAACGAAGCCUAAAUUAAUCCCAAAAGGCCAAAACUAAGUUGAUAAUCAAAUACUAAAAAAGUUAACCGGUAAGUUGUACAAUUGUUUUUAAAAAUCCAAGAGUUCAAAUACCAAAACAAAUCAAAAGAAAAUAUUCGGUUCGGUUUGAUUUUCCACUCCAUUAAUUUGGUUUUGGUUUCCGAUUUUCUAAAACUGGAUUAGAUCGGAGUGGUUUCAAUUUAUCUUGUAAUCCUCCGGCCCAGUCCGGUCCGGUCUAAGAUGACCCACUAAACCAGGCCGACCCGCAUUGGACCCAGGCCCAGUUUAAACCGGCCGGUCUAAUUGAAUAUUUAUGAGUUCUACCGAGCUUGCGUCCGGUCUAAUCUGGUCCAACUUUAUAUUUCUCCAUUGGGUUCCCGGUCUAAGCCGGUCCAACUUUGUUAUUAUAUUUCUCGACAGUUUCGAGUCUCUUCGUCUUCGUCUUCGUCUUCUUCCUCCUCCCUUUUACUACUACGCCUACUUCGUCGUCGCGAAUUAGGGUUAGGGUUCUGCUUCCCAAGCACAACCUCCUUUCCCUAUCUCAAUCACCUCGCCAACUAGGGUUUCGAGGCAAGCGGGAGUGGGAAGAAGAAGAAGUAGACGACCUUAUAAUUCUGAUUCGAAACCCUAGAUCGCAAGCACCUCGCCAAUUAGGGUUUUGGAGGUGAUCACGCGGCGAGAGGAAGGAGAAGAAGGGAGGAAAGAAGAAGAAAGAGAAGAAGAAGAAGAAGAGGAAGGAGAAGAAGGGAGGGAUGGGAGAGCGGAAGGUGCUGAACAAGUACUACCCACCGGAUUUCGAUCCGGCGAAGAUCCCACGGCGGCGGCAACCGAGGAACCAGCAGAUCAAGGUGCGGAUGAUGCUCCCCAUGAGCAUCCGAUGCAACACCUGCGGCACCUACAUCUACAAGGGCACCAAGUUCAACUCCCGCAAGGAGGACGUUGUCGGCGAGGUAAACCCUAAUCAUAUCCCUCCCCUUUCGAUUAUUGUUAGUAAUUUCUUCUUCUAUGUUGCUCGAUUUUUGUGGGAAAAUUCGGGAAUAUGAUGUGCUAUAAUGUUUUUUUUUUUUUUUUAAUUUGAUGUCUAUCGAAGAGGGAAAAAACAAGGGCUUUUUAUGGGAAAAUGAUGAGAAAAACUGAAACUGAUUCUUGGAACUGUUAUAUCGCAUCUGUAAAUAUAUUGCUCAUUAUUGGUACAAAAUUAGAAAAUAAUGUUAUAAGAGGUUUGCAUUUUAUCCUAGAUACUGAGAUUGGUAUGGGAAAACGAGGUGGAGACUUGAAUUGAGGGUUGAAUGAUUCUUCUUUCCAUCAGGCAGGUGUAUCGGGGGAUUGAAAUUGAAUCCUCCUUUCGAUUCUUUCUGACCUAUCCUAUUAUGUUACCUGACUUUUCGAAGAAUUUCUUGGAUUGUAAUGUGAUGUGUGGUUCUUCUUUUGGUUCUCUGUAGGGGGAAAACUGAUCCGUUUAUUGGAGAACAUUUGGCAAACUACAAUUGGUUGUUGUAUUGUAGCUUAUAAUAUACUCCAUAUAUGAGGAUUUUUGUAGUUCCUGAAACUGAAAGUUGUUCUGCAAAGCGACUAUGAAACUGGAAUUGACUAUCAAAAUAUUGAAUUUAAUUUUGCAGACGUACCUGGGGAUUCAACUCUUUCGGUUCUACUUCAAGUGCACCAAAUGUUCGGCAGAAAUUGCUUUCAAGACGGACCCACAGAACUCGGACUACACAGUAGAGUCAGGGGCAUCUCGUAAUUUUGAGCCUUGGCGUAAUGAAGAGGAGGUGAGUGAUCUAAACAAUGCUAGCUAUUUGUUCGGUCAUUUAAUAUGUUUGUGAUGGGUGUUUGGCCUGACAUCUGGAUCAUGCUAUUUACUAAGAGCACCUGAAGCUAGAUGUUUUGGCAAAGAAAUAGCAUGGAGAUUUUGCUUUGAUUGGAAGCUAAAAUAUGUUACUACAAACCAAAAGUAGAAGCUCUAAUUUGAAGCUGUAUUUUCUUCUGCUUCAGUGGGGAGCUAUUGGAGGAAUUUAUGAAAAACCUGUUAAUCAUUUUGAACAACUAUAACAGAUCUUAGCUCUGAUGGGGGCCCAAAUCACUAGCUUCUAGCCGGGGCUGAAAGUUGAAAUAAGCUUGUGGAUCCCAUGGCAAAAGCUUCAAUUUGAAGCAUCUUUGUCUACCUUCAGUGGGAAGCUCUUGGGUUUUUUCUUUUAUUAAACAGCUCGUAAAGCUUCUUUGAACAUCUUUGUCAAAUGACACUUAAGCAGAAGCUUCAUCAGAGCCAACUGGUCCUUUAUCUGCAGUUUUUUACAUUAGGGGGUGCCGGUGAUGGUUUUUAAUGGAGUUUACUUCUUCUGUCAAUGUCAUUAGGCACUACAAAAUGACAAGAGGAAAAGAGAGGCAGAAGAGAUGGGGGAUGCAAUGAAGUCAUUGGAGAAUAGGGCUCUUGAUUCAAAGCAGGACAUGGAUAUACUCGCUGCUCUCGAAGAGAUGAGAUCAAUGAAGGUAUAGUUGCACUUUUCAUUUUAUGAUUCUUGGUUUUAUUUUCAUUUUCUAUAUGAUAAGCUGUCAUGGGAAGUUUGCUAGUCAUAAUAAGGAUUGGCUAAUUGGUAGUUUUGCAAUUUUCUCACCAAUGGGUUUCGUCAAUGAAGUGCUUAUGAAAAAUCAAUCACGUCAGAGUGUUUCUGGGGUCAAAACCACUUUGAAUUUGAUAAAUGUAUUUCUUGUGAAUUUUGGAAUUGAAUUGUACCCAUCUAUAUUGGGGUUUAUACUUAUUUUUGUACUAGCUGUUUUAUUUUCCAAUUUAAUAUGAAUCGUGCUGACUAUUUUUUUUUGUCUUUUGUCUUUUUUCUUUUUUGUUGGUUUGUUCUGCAGUCCAGGCAUGCAACUGUGAGCUUUGAAGACAUGCUGGAGACCUUGAAACGUUCGGCUUAUGAGAAGGUAGUAGCUUGCUUUGCUAGUUAUCUCUCUCGCCUUAUGUAUUUUCCUUUUUUCAUUUGGUGAGAUUUAUAUAUUAUUCAGUACUAUAAGAAGUAGAAUUAAAAGCAUAGUGAGCUUACCCAUAAGGAGUUCUUCCAAUUUUCCAAAGUGUCUUUAAUUUAUUAUAUGGCGUCUUGUAGACACAGAGCAGAAUGGAAGAACAUGUGUAGCUAACCUUUACUAAACGUUUGUUAUGUGCUAUCUCUUGUGCAUGAUCGAGUGCAAUAUGUCUUCCAUUUAAUAUUUGGUGGAAAGACCUCUGUGCAUUAACUUGUAUGUGUUGAGUGUGGCUCUGAGAUUUCUAAUGACUUGCCAUACAUUGACAGGAGCAAAAAGACAUGGAAGAGUUAGAUGAGGCAGAUGAAGCACUAAUUAGAUCAAUUGCUUUCCAUGUUAGUAUUUCUGCCUUUCUUUUAGUUUUUUAUUUCACUUUCAGUGUUGUUAUUGUAAUUUUCAAAUGAUUGUUAAUAUGCAAUUCAUAAAUUCAGGGUUCAAAAGAUUAUGUCCGGCGAUUGAGUGAUGAUGACGAUGACGAAGUUGAUCCAGAAAUAGGCCAACCUUCUUCAAGUGAACCAUUGGAUAGCAAUAAGAAGGUAUUCCAUUACCUAGCUUAUUGCUUUGCUGCAAAUUCUAGUAUUGAAAAUUAUGUUUUCUUUUCCUAUAAUGUCGUUGGAAAUGUUGUUUUGGUUGCAAAGUCAUUAUUCAGUGCAGAGCUUAAAAGGUUUUUUGGUUGUACUUUUCCACAUUGACUAAGCCUAAAAUAACAUCAUAGAUUCCCUGUAUUAUCACUGCUAUAAUACUACUUUUCUUCUUUUUAUUUUUAAUCCAAGUUAUUUAGCAUGGCAAUCUUUGUGUUAUUUGCUUGUUAUUUGACACUCGUAUUGCCUUUUUUGUCAUUAUAUAUAGUAUUCACAUGUGGUGUAUGAUUAUUGUUCUAUACUACCUGUGUGAUAGAUUCAUACCUAUAAUGACACUAUUGUUGUUCUGAACGGAAUUUGGCGUACAACUUAUCACCUUUUUUUAUGAUUUAUACUAUAAUCUGUGUGUGUGUGUGUGUGUGUGUGUGUGUGUGUGUGUGUGGUUGCUGAAUCUCAUAUGUUUCUUAUCUUUUGAAGGGGAAAAGUUCCUUACAACUCCAAAGUACAAUUGCAAAUCCAACAGAUGCCUUGACAAAAGCAAGCAUCUCUGACAGCUCAAAAAAUAAAGGUGUUUCUCUUGCUGAAGAUCGUGUUACUUCAUAAUGGUUUUUUUUUCUUUCACUGAAUUAGCUACAAGCUAUUUUAGAGAGGAAUAAAUUUUUUUUUAAUGCUUUUAUGCUCUAGUAUUUCGCCAUGCUUUUGCACCUUUUAUGUAGUUUUAAGGUUUUGAUACUUAAAUGCUCUAACUCUUGUUUCAUUUAACGCAAAUGAAAAUAUCCCUCAGGUUUUUUAUUUGUCGAGCAACUUCCAUCUUCUGUUAAGUACCAACGAAACUGUUUUCCAUUUAGUGUGUAUGGCAUGGUGGCCCGCUGGCCCUAUAGCUUCUUACUUUUUCUUUGAAGAAAUCAUUAAAUAAUUAAUUUCUUUUUAUGAUCCCUCUAUGGUAUAGUUACCUCACAUCUCGCCACUUACUCAAAAUAAUGUUCUUUGAAGGAAACCGCUUUUUCUUCCUUUUUUUCCCCAAUUAGUUUGCAAAGCUCAUUAAAUUUGGGUUAUCGUGUCCUUACCAUCAAAUGUAAUUUUUACAGGGACUAGAAGUGGCACAUCAGUUUUAAUGCCAAAAUUCAUAUUGAAACCAAAGCCUACAAAGGAUGAACCUUCUUCUAAGAAGCCUCGGUCUGAACCCGCAGCGAUGGACCAAUCAGGAGACACAGGAGGAGAAGGUGAAAACAAACUGAUUGAAAGCAACAGUAAUACAGCGAAUGGCCUUCAAUCUCUUUGUCAAAAUUACGACAGCGAUGAGAGCGACUGAUUCUGCGAUAUACCAUUACUUGCUGUUAUCUUUUACUGGGAAUUGAGACCUCUGGCCAUGUACAAUGAAGAGGCAACCUCUCUAGGUUUCAGUCGGACUUCGAGAAAUAAUGACAAGAGUUGUUUCUAUUUCUCUCUUUGGCCGAAAAUAUUAGGGCAUUAGUAUGCCUUGUUUCAGGCCUCAGAAGUUAUUCCCUGUACACACUGUAAAUGUUGACAGUGCCAGAUAAGAUACUGGUGAAAUGGGAGAAAGGUGUGUAAUGUCAAAUGUGGGCCAUCACCAAUGUUUAGAUGUUGUGCUACAUUAAGCUUGAAGCUUGUUUUUAAGGAAUUUGUUUAGCCAGAGCAAUUCCUUGCCUCUGUCUAAAAAUUGAAUUGAGCUUAAAAUGUACCGGUGCAUCUUAAGUUUAGUACAACGAAUUUUUGGUGCAGAUUUGUUCUUAAGUUGGGUGUGUUGGACAUGUUGAAUUUGGGCUUUUUUUGGGUCUUUUAUUUAUGGGCACAAAAAAAAAAAGAAGAGUUACAAGCGAGCCAUACCCCUUGCUUUGCUUUAAGAUUCGAGCCAGUGGAUUAAUGUAGUGAUGUAUCCCCCCGCUUCGCUUUAAGAUUCGGGUCAGUGCGGUGAUGUAGUGAUGUACUUCUCAAUCUACUGAGAUAUCAAUUGCUUGAGAUAUCAAUUGAAGCGAGACUAUUAUAAGAACAAUACACGAUUCCAAAAUUUUCACCGUUACAUAUUACAGGUUGCUGUAAUUACAACAAGGCUAUUAAUAUUAGCAUAUAUCACCCCAAACAAAACCACAAGCAAAAUCAUGUCAACAAGAAACAAAACAAAACAAAAGAAUGAUAUACAUAUUCUCCAGGUGCGUCUUUUGUCGAUCACGAGAGAACGUUGAAGGACUGCGCUUCUUUCGCGACCUUAAUGAAGACAUCCUCCAACGUCGUAUCGGCCAAACCCCAAGCAUAUAUCUUGAGCUUGCUCUUCGCACUCUCGACCGCUCGGAAAACAUCCGCUAUUCGCACUUCUUGUUUCGAGAGCUCAAACUUUUGGGUCCCUGAUAUAUGGUAAAUCUUAUUCGCACUCGGAGAUAGCCGUCGAACUAAGCUUUCCACUUCUGCUUCUUCAUCUGAAGAUGUAGUCAUCGUGAACACGUAGGACCCGCCGUAUCUUGCCUUGAGCUGCCGUCAUAAACACCGAUAAAAACACAUUUCAAUAACAUGCAUUGGUGCUAAUCUUUAUUAGUUAGAGAACAAUCACCAUAUAAAUGCAACUUUUGGAAUAAAAAUUUGUCAUCAUACACAAACUGAUAUUUUCGGCUUACCUCAGUAGGGUUUCCUAAGCAUUGGAAGCUUCCAUCCACGAAGAUACCAAGCCGAUCGCAUAAAACCUCUGCCUCCUCCAUUGAAUGCGCUGAAGCGAUUUUUUUUUUUUUUUUUUUUAACUUUCUCAGUGAGUAGAAGUAAUCACAUGCAUAAACAAUAAAAAUUUGCAUAUUUCAUACUAAUAGUUGAGAGCAAAUGUAUGCACACAGCAUGCAAAGCCCUUGCCAAGUUUAGGCUCAUCAAAGUUUUAGUCAGUGGAAAGAAUAGGAGAGAAUAAGGUUACAAAACAAAAAAACUGUAUUAAAGAAAAGAACAUACUAGUAAGGAUAAUCGCGCGAUCUCUUUUCGCACGCUUCACGACGUUCCAUAAGUUGUUUCUUGAUGCUGGAUCCAAUCCUGUGCUUGGCUCAUCCAUGUACACAACCUGUGCAUACAUUUUAAAGGAAUAUGCAUGGUGCAAUGAGAAUGUUAUGCACAAGUAAUAGCCUAUUAAAAGGAUCUUAAAUGUAAUAUUUAUGAGAUAUAUAUAUAUACUUUAGGAUCGCCAAUUAGUGAGAUAGCCACACUAAGCCUCCUCUUCAUGCCGCCGCUGUAUUUGCCAACUUGCUUGUCGCCGACGCCACCGUGAAACAGAUUCACACUCUUCAACGAUUCUUCAACUGCCUGGAAAAUGCAAUUGUUGGAUCCAACAACAUUCAUAGGAGUAAAUAGAUGUUUGGUGGUGCAUUUACUACUAUACAAAAUAUACUCGCGCGCCAUGAAACAUACUCUACAUAUAUAUAUUCAAUGUAGAAUAAACAGAUGUAAAAGAAAGAUAAACAUGCUUCUAGUGUCUUUCAACAACUAUUUGAAGUUAUCAAACAAAGUUUUCUACGAAUAGUUAAGGGAUUUGAGCCCAAUAUGAUUUAUAUAAAUCGAAGUGCUCACUUACCACCUAAAGUUCUCUUAUUGAUUUCCAAAUCUGCAUGUUCACUUAAUGUAAUUUAAUCAUGACAAAUUAGAAAUUAAAGGCCUGAAUGAUCUAUCUAGAGCUACUACAGAACUGCCCUUUGAGUUAGGCGUUGCAAUUCGAGUUUGCAAGUCAUGUUCACAUUCGACAACCAUGUUACUCGUGUCAAUUUGAAGAUCGUUGAAAGGCCUAUAAUAGCAACUUAAAUGCUCAGAACAUACAAUAAUUUUGCAUGUGUCAUAUCGUGUCAUGUCAUGUCAUUUUCAAGUUAAACAGGUUCUUAUAGUGUCGAUUUCAGGUUUCUCUCAAUAACUUCAUGUCGUAUUUGAUCAUAUUAGGUCAUGUUAUCACGUCGUGUCUGAAAUUUCGGAAGGAGCAUUAACAGUUUUCCUGGUGAGCUCCUCCAAGUAGCUUACUUUAUCGCAAAAGUGCUUUCGAGUCAGAAAACUAUUCCUUCUUUUCUAUUUUUUUUGUGGCCCAGAAGUUUAUUUCUCUUUCCUGUAAUACCGAGAAGCUCCAAGUUUACUUGCAACUCUACUUUUAAUUGAUGAAACCAUACAACUUUGGUUGAGUUUAUCAAAGAGUGAAUCAGAUAUAAACCAUGCAUAUAACUGAUUUACCUGCAUUAAUGCACCACCCUUAAGAUUCUUCAGUCGGCCAUAGAACAAAAGAUGCUCCCUUCCGGUUAAUGUUUCCCACAGCAAACUGCAUUUCGAACAAAUAAUUAGUUGAAUCAAAACCCAAAUCUCUAAUUUAUGUUUACACCAAUUAACCUUAUAGCUAACACGAAAGAACGGUAAGUUUAGGGACAUACUCAUGCUGCGGACACACACCCAUGCUUGUGUAUAUCUCAUCCAUACUCGUCCGUAUAUCUAAUCCUUGGACAUAUGCUGUGCCUGAGCUUGGUGUAAUAAGCCCAAUCAUCUAUUAACAGAAGAAAUACAAGUUCAUGUUAAGACCAUAAUACAUGCCUCUUAAAUACCUGCAAAAUUUAAAUUUUUGUAUAUACCCCUCGAAAUUGUAGCUUCUUAUGCAAGCACCUUCAUCUUAAAUUGGGGAGUCAUCGAUGUCAAGCGACAGAGUUAGUUUUGUAUUAGAAAUAAAGCUUUUUUGAAGGGCAUAUAUGAGAACUCAAACUUUGUAGGGAUACAUGUGUGUAUGUAAAUUGACAAUUCAGCAGUAUAUAUGUAAAUAUUAUCAUUAAUUGAUAAAAAUUUUCAUGGCUUUCCAAUAUCCACAGUUGUUGCUCACUUUACGGUCUUAUUAAACAUUAGUGAGAAUGGACGGAACUGACCAUAUUGAUGAAAGAAGUUUUUCCGGCACCAUUAGGGCCAAGCAUUCCGAAACACUGCCCUUGAGGCAAAGCAAGAGCUAAUCCACGGACGGCGAGCUUGUCCGGAUUUCCGUCCCUUCCUGGAUAAACUUUUUUGAGGUUAUUGCAGACGAUCGCAUGACUAGUACGGCCGGAUUCUGCUAGCAGCUGCUCAACAACCUCCCUCUGAAAAUAAGUUAAGAAACGCAAAGCAAGAACAUAGGAAAAUAAGGAACCAAUUAUCUUUUCUGGGAAGUGAUAAAAAGUUUGUAAAGUACAUCAGAAUACUGGCUUUUCAAAGUACAUCAGAAUGGCAGUGAAUUAUGUAUUUUGUAUCCGCGUGACAUAAACCAGACUUAUUCUGGGCAGAUAACCAAGAAUUAUUAGCUGCUAGAGGCGAGUCCGCAAAAUAUUGAGACAAGUCCAACAUGCUAUCCAUUAAGAAAGCGACUCACUAUUAAUAAAAAUUUGAAUAUAUCUGAUACAUAUAGCUUGCUAAGUAUAAUUCAUAGGUGCGAUAGUUUUAAAGCGGAAGAUUGAUCUGAAAUCUUGCCGUCUGUUCUUAAGACAAAUGUAUGCUCUCAACCAUAUUCUAUUACAGAAUAGUUUACAGACAUUUCGUUUCUCUUCUUUUGUUUGAUCGACUCCCGACCAACUUUCGACCAUUAUCUAUGGAUAUUUCUGUCGAUUCAAUUGAGGAUUCCACUAUUUAAAAGUGACUCAAAGUAGUAUAAAGAAAGUUCAUACGGUGCAAACUAGUAAAAUGAACUUACUUCUUGAGCCACAUCAGGUUUCUCCAUAUCAACAGCGACUUUCGAUCCUUGGCUUGCCAAACUAGGUCUUCUCCAAGAUAGUGAUCGCUUCUUUUGAAAAUAUCUUAAGAAAAAUAGAGGGUCUUUCCUCAUUCCACCUCCUAAUGAAGAGGCUUGAUCCAAAUAGUAUGCAAGAGGGAGCAACACUACCCAUUCCACAGUCAUUACAAUCAUUACGUUCUUCAUACCGUUUAUAGGAUCACUUAAAUCUUUCCAUCGCAUUCCCGAAGUGCCCAUGUUGUUCCCCAUGAAAGCAUACUGAGCAAAUUCAUAUAGCCCGCGCCAUAAUGAAAAGCCAGGAACAAGCUCUAUGACUAUAAUCCAACCUCCUAAAAUAGCGAAAAAUUCAAGUUAUGUAUUCAUACGAUUUAAGAGAGGAAAUUAAAGUGGUAAACUCUUUCAAAUGAGAAUCAGCUACUUACUCGGAAAAGAAGUGUCUUCGACGAAGAAACGCAAAAGAAAUUCUCCUAACAAGCCUGACCCAAAUACGUAUAUAUACCCAAGAACUGCACCAUAAGAUGUUCGGACGAACACAGUUCGUCAUUCAACUCUCAAGAAGGAUGUAAAGUGAUUUUAGUUUGAGAUAUCAACCUAUAUACGUGGACAGAGAUAUUUCCUGCAAAAUCUGAAUUUUCAUAAAUGUGUUUCUUAAAAGGUAUGUUUGUAAGAAUUUUUGAGCGGUAUAUAUGAAAAAUUCAGAUUUUACAGGUGUAUAUUUGUUGAUUGAUGAUUAUGAAUCUGACCUGUAGCAGUCUUUACAGAAGAGAAGAAAGUUGCGGCGAGAAAGGCUAAUGCGAUCUGCAAGUUGAUGUAAAUGAAAUAGAAUACAACCUGUAUGCCGUAGUCAUUCAAUUUGAAGAACUUUAACCCUGCAAAAGAAUAUAAAAAUCCAGUUAAAGCAAAUUUUAUUUGAGAUUUGUAUAGAACAGUGGUAGUUCGUAACUAGAUGGUCGUACCUACUAUAGAUCCAAAAAUUACAAAACAUAUCAUAUACAGAGCUGAGAGGCAGAAAAAGUAAGCAUAAGAUAUCAUCCAGUAGGGGCCAUCCUUUAGUCCAUGCAUUUUCAUCAUAAGUUUUAGCUUUUGCUGCUUCUCGUAGACUAAAUACGUCAAUAUAACCUACAAGUAAAAAAAAAAUUACAAGCUCGUUAGAAUCACCUCAUAGAAUUUAGAUAGCGUAUACUUAACAGCAAAUGAAUAUUUUUAGUUUGGCCUGACUUCUGAAACAACUUCUCUAUUUGAAGAAGUAGCAACCAAGCAUUUGACAACUAAAAAAUCAAUAGCUUUUUCUUGCGAUUUGAAGGUUCAGCCUCUGCCAUACUGGGAGUUUGUAGGGGAAGAAAUAAAUGAAAAACCUGUAACGGCUUUUCUAAUUCAAGACAACUUCUAUGAAAACUCGAGCCAGGCCAAAGUCCAAAGCGGGAAAUCCUAACUUUGAACUACUAUGUGUAAAGAAUACCACCAGACAAACGCAUAACGUGAGCUACCACAUUUACCAAUAAACUAAACUAAAGGCCAUUGAACUCACUGGAAAAAGUAGCUCGAUGAUCCAGGUAAAGAACAAUGCACCAAGAAGGGAGGAGAAAUCGAAUCUACUCUUUGUUGCGGGCUUGGGCAUCUCUUUCACAUACUCAAGUUGCAUAGCCAACCCAUCGCCUUUGAAGAGCUUGAGGAAUGCGCUAGAGGCCUGUAAAAAUAAUUAAUUUUACAAAAAGAAUCAUCAUAAUCUCUAAUCAAUAGCAUCAAAAGAUAUAGAAUUUCGACUAAAAUGGAGGUAAUUGCAAAUUGAGCCAUAAAGGUCAAGUAUCCGAAAAGGCUCCAAUAUCUCGGUAAAAAUGCAAUAAAUGAGAAAGUUGAAUUCACUCGAAUAAGUUCAGUUCAUCAUAUGAGUUCGUAAUUUCAGUUGUUUGAUGGAGAGGAAAUUCUGUAGUUUUGGAUGAAAUGAAUGCACUUACCGCAUUCAAUGAGCGUGGAACUCGAAGCAAUGCAAUGCUAACAUAUCCGGUGUCAUUCUUGUAAGUUGAGUUGUACCAAAUAUUUACAUUGAAACCAUUCUCACUAGUAUCCAAGAAGUCGUAAGCUGCGAACGGUAAGUGGAAGUUAGCUACGGAACCUAGUAAUAACACGAAAAAGGAGAACAAAAAGAAAAUGUAAACAAGAUAACCUGUGAGAAAUUCAUUUGUCUCCCUCGCCGUGUUUCCUUGUCUAUAACCCUUGUAUAAGUCACCAUUUAUCGCUGACGAACUAUUACGCCAUAGCGAUAAACCUUGAACACACUCGACAUCUGUUCCAUUUUCAAAGAAUAAUGAUGUGAAAUCGUGGCUGUUUUCAAAGGAAUAUAAUGUGAGCAUUCUGCCAUAUGAGAUUAGUUCGAAACAGCGUUUUUGAAUUCAUCUGUAUUGAAUUGGCGCGAUGCAGUCUAAAAUUGAUAAACAUGCGAAAUAUAUACAUUCAUGUGAUUCAACAAAUAACAGUAAAGUUUUAAACUAUCAGAAAUACAAAAGAAAUAAAAAUCUAGAAACUUCCUAAAAUCAUCAGAAUUAAGUUUUUUUUUUUUUUAAAAAAAAAAAGUAACAAGCUCUUUUACCUAGCUGAAUUGGGAAAUUGUCGAUGUCUACAGAAACUGAAAGAUUGAAGCUUGGCAGACACUGAGGCUGGAUCAGAUACAGUGGUCUAUCAGAGACAAAAGCCGGUUCUAUGUACUCCGUAAAUUGCGGAAUUGUGUCCGUUCCCUGCGAGAUUUUUUUAGAAAAAUCAAAAUAAAUGGAAAGAACAAAAGUGAAUAAGUAAAACAAUUUAAUCAAGAUAUUCAGAUUGUUAAAUUUUGGUUUAGAUUUGUAGUUAUCUAAAUUGAGGAUAAAUCCUAAUCUAAUUGAGAUUAGAUAUUAUUUAGAUUUAAUUUGGCAUAUAUGGAUUAUGAGUCGGAAUCUAAUUUCUAAUUGAAUUAGAAUUAGACCCUAUUUAGGAGACAUGUAUUAUAAAUAUAUGCUACGGUCAAAUUAAUCCGUGCGACAAAAUUAAGAGGCCAUGCACUAAUUAAUUAAGUCUCUUGGAGGGUACGGUUGUUGCCGGAGAGAACCAAGCUUCGUGUUAAUUUGGUGUUUUCGGUGGCUGCAUCAUCACGAGCCAAGAGAGAGUUGGAGCUCUAAUUAAUUAAGUGAGCAUCCGAGGAGCCGGCGACUAAUUAAGCUAUUGGUCCGUACGGUGAAGGAGCCGCACAUGCCAUGCUAAUUAAUUAAGGUGUUGGUCCGUACGGGUUGAGAGAGCCGAGUCGCUUAUUUGGAGUCGCAUGUACAGAUGCGGAUUUCGACGUUUCCGAUCUAAUUAGAGUUCGGGGUCCUUUGAGAGAUUCAAUUUUAUACUCCGCCUUUUUUCAAUAUUAAUAAAGUAUUUGCUCCGUCUUCGUCUGUGGACGUAGACCGUUGGCCGAAUUAUGUAAACAUCGGUGUGUUCUUUCCACUUUAUCUUUUCUUUUUUUUGCAUUAAAUUAUUUUCGGAUCUAUUUUUUCGCCGUUCGGAUUUCAACACAGAUAAGUAAACUCACAGGAAUAACAUUGGCUAGGAUGUUCAGAAAAUCAGAGAAAUUGGGGCUGGAGGAAGGAAUUGGUGUGAACAACCUCCCUGCAAUACCUGUCAACAUAGAGAAAAACAAAAGAAAAGAAAAAUUAUUGUUAAGGUACUUCAACCAAAAAAAAAAAAAAAAAAAAAAUAAUUGUGAAGUAGAACACUAUUUGGUGCUUGUUUAGCGCUGCUUCGUGAACAGUUUCUCUACUCCAAGAAAUAGAAACCAUGCUACUUAGCGAACACAGUAAAUUUUGGCUACAUCUGGACGUGUAAAUAAACUGCAGACACUUUGUUAGAAAAAAAACCCCACAAAAAAUCCAUAUUUAGCUUCAGAUAAAUAUUUUAUGGACAUACUCUCCAAACAAGCAAUCUUGUUUGGAGAUUAUCCGGAUGGGUGCCACGUGGCGAGCGAUGUCUAUCCCAAAAGCCCAGCAAAAAAUGACGACCAUUCCAACUCUCAAGCAUUUUAAUUCAGCAAAAGUAAUACUUUUGUCGGGCAGUGGGGAUGGACUCCGCUCGCCAUGUGGCACCCAUCCGGACAAUGCCCAAACAAGAUUGUUUAGGAGUAUGUCCAAGAACUUCCUGUUCUCGGUUAAGCUCAAAAUCUCAUUCCAAACCAAUGCAAAAUCCGUAUAUAUAUAUAUAUAUAUAGAGUUGAGCUAUGAUACUUUUAUAAGUAUCACCAUCAUGGUGCUAUUAGGGUUUAAGCCAUUGGAUCUAUUUUUUGAUUAUUAAUAGCCAUUUGAUUAAACACUAUUCCACCUACCACCACCUACCACCACCUACCACCAUCAUCUCAACCUCACAUCUCUCCAUCCAAAGGCUAAAAACACACAAGUAUCACCCCCAUGAUACUUUUACAAGUAUUCUAGCCUCACUCUCUCUCUCUCUCUCUCUCUCUCUAUAUAUAUAUAUAUAUAUAUAAUUGAGCUUCUAUAUUUUUAAAAGUAUCUAAGUUAUUGAUGCUUAUAGAUUUUUAGCAAUUGGAUUAAAAGAUAUGCUGUUAAGAUGAUGUGGACCCCUAGAGUUUAGUGGGUGGUUGGUUGAAUAGUAUAAUCUAAUGAUUGAAAAUGAUCCGAAAAGUAGAUCUAACGGUAAAAAACUUACAAGCACCAAAUGCUUGGUGCUUUUACAAGCACCAUAGCUGGACUCAUAUAUAUAUAUAUAUAGAACUAGGCUACUAUGCUAUUAAUAGUACCAAGUCAUUGGUGCUACCAAGUUUUUGGCCAUUGGAUUAAGUAAUGUGCGGUUAGGAUGAUGUGGGCCCCCUAGGGUUGUGUGGGUGGUUGGUUGAAUAGUAUAAUCUAACGAGUAAAAAUAAUCAAAGAGAUUAAUCUAACGGCAGAAAACUUGAUAGCACCAACUACUUGGUGCUAUCGAUAGCAUAGCAGCCGGACUCUAUAUAUAUAUAUAUAUAUAUAUAUAUAUAUAUAUAUUAUAAUAUAGUUUUGAAUAUAUAGUAUAAUUAUAAUUAGAGUGAGGCUACUAUGCUAUCGGAAGCACGGAGCCUUUCGUGCUUACACCUCAUUUUUUAUGUUGCGACUUUUGAAUCGUCGAUCAGCUUCGUUAAACUUGAUCUAGAGUAUUUGGAGUACCUAGAAAAUAAAUUUUAUUAUUUUUCGAUAUCAUGUGCCUAGUGAUCGAAUGGGUUCAAAAUUAAUAAAUUUCAAUGGCCGUAGUGAGCCGUUUGCAAGUUUAACGGUAUAGAAAUAUCCAAAUCACGUGAAAUUUUGAUAGAAAAUUCUUUAUACUAUAUAAAACAAGAUCAAUAUCUUUGAUUUAAAAUUUUAAUGUCAUAUUAUUAUAUUUUGUAAGAUUUUUAUUUUCAGCCGUUGAUUUUGANUCAUCAUGGUCGUCAUCAUCAUUAUAUUAUUAUUAUUAUUAUUAUUAUUAUUAUUAUUAUUAAUAAUUAGUUAGCAAAUGUCCAACAAGUUUAUGCAUAUACCUUGGGCGAGCGAGCGGUUCCGGCCGCAGCAGCGCCGGCCAGCGGGGGGGUCUGGGGAUGGCGCACGUCCCGACCUGAUCGAGCGUCGAGUGCUGCGGCCCGCACACGCACGCGCCGCCGCCGCUGGGGCACGUGCAGCCGCAGCGGUACUCGGGCUUGUCGAGCUCGUGGUCGAUGACGCCCUGCAACACCACCAGGAUCACGCACAGCAUCACCGGGAACGCCACGAUCCCCACGUUCGUCUUCAGGUUCCGCUUCUGCAUAUAUAUAUAUAUAUAUAUAUGCUCUCAUUCAUUCAUUAUAUAUAUAUUUUUUUCUUUUUUUAUUACAAACUAUAUAUAUAUUUUUAUUAAUUAAUGAAAAAAAUGCAAAUCAAGUGAAAAUGAGCAUGACUUAUAAUUUAAAAAAUUUGAAAAUUUAAUAAAUAAAAAAAAUCAAUCAAAGCUGUAUAAUGAAGUCUUAUAUUUAGUGUUCAUGUGACCGAAUUUACAAUUUUUUUUUUUCUUUUUUGCUGUAAAAUGCAGAGCGAUUAACCCCGUGCGUAAUUGUAAGCAAAUUUACGAAACAAACCACGCACAAAAAAGAUUUAGAUCUAGAGAGAGAUUAGAGAGAGAUUAGAGAGAGAGAGAGAGAGAGAUGAUCACCUGGAACGUGAGGUUCUUCCUCAGAAGAGCAUUAGCCUGGGUCGAAAAACUAGCAGUGCCUCGCAACGACGGUUCCAUUCACAAAUCUCAACUUAAGAUCCCAAAAAUUAAUAAGCUAGUAGAGAUAGAGAGAGAGAGCCUCUAAAGAGAGAAGCUGUAGUGGUUGUUCUUUUUUUUUCUCUCUCUCUCUAUCUUCUUUUCUUUUUUUUUCUUUUUCUCUCUUUUUCUUUCUGAUCAGUAUACAGAGACUUGAACAAUGGAACAAAGGGAAACCAACAUUGCCGGCCCUUUAAAUACACCGGCCGAUCAAUUUGCGGCUCGUCGUCUGUGGACCGGGUCUGGUAGACCGAACCAAUCGGAAUCCUCGAUAGUUGGGAGAAAACAUAUGUUUUUUUUAUUGAGAAAUACUCCAAUACACCGACCAAUUUAAAUCUGACCAUUCCUUUUUAAAGAUUAAAAAUUGACUUUAACAUAAUAAUAACCUACUCAAUAGGUUACUAUUGACUUAAAUGGGCCAGCAUCCUACACUGUGGCGAGAAGGCAUGUUGGACCGAGUCAUGUUCGAAAUGACGUGAGACUGGGUGGGCCGAGUCAUGUUCGAAGUGGCGUGAGGCUGGUUGAGCCGAGUCACAAUCAAGAUCUGUGGGUGUUGUAUUUAUACGCUUAAGUGAAUUGGUUGCGUAUUUCUAACAGCUCGAGCUUUUGGGAUUAAUGGUUAGCGCCAAUCCGACAGUUACCGAUCGAAAUCAAUCUUAAAUGCAAUAUUAGAUUAGAAAAUAUAUACUAUCCAAUUACUAAAUUGAAUAGCAUCUAACAAAUCUUUCAUUUCCUAAUUUAAUUUUGUUACUUGCCAAAUUAGAUAAUAGCUAAUUUGAUAAGUGGUAAAUCUUCAUAAAUUUGAAUUUAAAAUUUAACUUGAUUUUAAACUUUAUGUUUAUAAUUUUAUAGGUUAACUUCAAACUUAAAUUUAAAUUUAAAUUUAAAUUUCAGAAAGAAAAAUUUAUAUUUAAAUCAGUAAUACAUUUAAAAUCAAAUUGUCAACUCAAUCUUCAAAUAACAUGAAAGUUCAAAAAUAUUAGUCUAUUUUAAAUUGUAAUUUAAGUUAUACUCUACUUAUAAAUCCAACUUUUAUUAUUUAUUUAAAUAAAAAGUUUCUAUGUUUUAAAAUAAAUUCAAAUUGUUCAUUUAAUAUUCAAAAACAGGAUUAAAGUUUAAAAUAAUGAUCAAAUUUAAAUUUUAAAUUUAGAUUUAAUUUAUAUUAUAGUUAAAAAGCUAAUUUUUAUUAACUAUUUAAACAUAAAAUUUUUAUAUUUGAUAAUUAAUUUUAAAUUAUAAAUCACUAAAAAUUUAUGAUCCAGUGUCAUCGUAUUUAAAAAUUCGUUUUCUCCGUGUAGUAUGUAACAUUUUAAUGUUGGCUCUUUUUUUUUUCCAAUAUAUUCCUAUCGCACAUACUUGGUAACGUCACUGCCAGUGGAAUAACAUGUUUUUUUUUUUUACACAUAAAUCUUAACCUUCCAUUAAUUAGAAAUAAAUGGCUAAAAUUACAAUGGAGUAUUGAAACAUUGCUCUUAUUUAUUUAUUUAUUUAUUUUUGGACUUUUAUCUGAUGUGGAUGUUCCAAAAAUAUAGAAUAAUUAUAGUUCUCCAAAAAAGUAAGCUAUCGGAGAAUGAUAUUUUUAUAAUUUAUAUUUUGCUGGAGAAAAAAUCGCACUGAAAAUUUGAUUAUAAAGAGAUCAAACAAAAUAAAAAUAAAAUUAGAAUUUAAAUAAAAUUUCAUCUCUUUUUUUUUUCACUUAACUCUCUCUCUUCGCAAUGUUCAUCUCGAUGAACAGCACAAGUAGAUCCGGCAAUCUUGACCCAUACCUGUGGAUACCCGCGGGUUACCUGCAAAUUUACGGGUAUAGAUACCAACUUUUCUAACCCAAAAAAUUACGGGUAAAACAGAUGGGUACCCAUUAAGCUGUGGGUAUUUUGGGUAACCCACGGGUACCCACGGGUACCCGCAUAUAUAUUUUUUAAUUACAAAAUAUAUUUUUUUAAUUAAAAAAUAUAUUUUUUUAUUUACCUAUCUUAAAAAUUUUAAUAUUAAUUUUUUAUUGCGUGUUUUUUAUAUUACGAAAUUUCUUUAUUUUAAGACUUUAAAUAUUUUUAUUGUAUGNCUAUCCGCUUCGUUUAUUUCAUUUAGAAAUAAACUUAGCUAGAAAUGUGAAUCAACUAGGAUUCGAACUUGGGUCUCGGGUACCAACCACCAAGCCCUUUGCCACUUGCUCUAUCCAUGCCCAAGUAACCCGCGGAUAUAAUGAUCCUUCCACUGGUUAUCCAAUCCGCCCGUUUGCCAGGUCUAAACACAACCCAGUGCAUAUAUAAUGGAGAGAGAAUGGAACGUUCCAUUUCAUGCCUUAUGCAAUAUAAAAAAAGAAUAAUAAAAAUAAAUUAAUUAAAUCUAUCUAAUUAAUUAACAUAAUAAAUAAUAAAUGACAAUAAAUAAGAAUAAAUAAAUUAUUAAAUAAUAAUAAUAAUAAUAAUAAUAAUAAUAAUUGGAUAUUUUAAAUUUUUCACCAAAAUAUUCAACAUCAGAGAUAUAUAAUGGAAUGUUGUNGUGGUUUCGUUUUUAUCUUUUCAGAAGCUUUUUCGUUAAUAUUUCGUUAAAUUAUAUACAAAAAACUUCAGAUAACCAUCUAUGUUUAUCGAAUAUUUACUUUAAUAUCCUUUAAUUUUAACUUUGUCACUGAUUUAAGAAAAAAAAUAAUAAAAUUGAUAACAAAAAGAGAAAAACGAAACCACAGAGUGGCAAAUUGAUACGUUUUAAACCACAUGAUAUUAAAGUGAGAAAGCGCGAAACCACAUUGGGGGUUUUUGAAGUUUUCUUUAAAUUCUAUGUGUUGUUACUGUCGCCAAAAAAAAAAAAACUUUUCAUUUUAUGGCUGACGAAAGGGUUAAUAAAAGUAAUAAAAUAAUUUUAUAGUUAAAUAAUGUCAAAAAAAAUAAUUUUAUUUUUCUACUUUUAUGUUAGAUGAAAACUUUUCUUUGGACUAGUGCUACUAUUUCAAUAUAAAAUAACUAUUAUAGUAAUUUUUUUUUAUUAUUUUACAUGCAAUAAGAUAAUAUAUGAAAAUUUUUAUAUGGGCAUUAUAUAAUACGGCAAGAAAAGAAAAGUUUAUAAAUUUUAAACCCUAAUAGCAAAAUUAAAUUGAAUUGUUACAACUGUAAUAAGCAAUUCAUACAAAUUUGUUAAUAUACUCUAUAUCAAGCAUGCGAAUAUAUUGAUUUUGACAUAAUAAUCGACCUAUUAGCGACUAUUUACACGUGCCGGUGCACCGCUGACGUGGUGGAGAUGGUUCACCCAACACUUUGUGAGGACCACAUAGAUAAUUUAAAUGGACCCAUGUAAAUUACAUGGGAAAAUAUAAUUGGGAAAGAGUGGUUUCCCACUCACCGAAUAAUAUAUUUAUUUAUUAAUCUAACAGUUUUAUUAUUUUUUAAUAUAAGAUUAGAAGGUUCUUAGCUUUAUAUGUAACACUCUAUUUGACUUUAAUUUUUUUUGGGAAUCAAAUACCACCCUAUAGUUUCGCACUUUUUCACUUUAGUACCUUAUAGUUUAAAAGCGUAUCAAUUUAGUACCAUGUGGUUUCGCACUCUCCGACUUUAGUAUCCCGUGGUUUAAAGUGCAUCAAUUUAGUACCAUAUAUUUUUAUUUUCCUCUUUUCGUCGGCUCAUUUGUUAAUAUUUCGUUAAAUUAUAUAUAAAAAACUUUGGAUACCCUAUCUUGGUUUAUCGAAUAUUUAUUUUAGUACCUUUUAGUUUUAACUUUAAUUGUCACUGGUUUUUUUUUUCUCCGGUAAUAUUUCAUUAAAUUAUAUAAAAAAAACUUCAGAUACCCUACCUAGGUUUAUCGAAUAUUCACUUUAGUACCCUUUAAUUUUAACUUUGUUACUGAUUUAACGGAAAAAAUUAGUAAAAUGAAUAAUAAAAAGAGAAAAGUAAAACCACAGGGUACUAACUUAAUACACUUCAAACCACAGGGUAUUAAAGUGAGAAAGUGCGAAACCACAAGGGCUAACUUGAUACACUUUAAAUUACAGGAUACUAAAGUGAGAAAGUAUGAAACCACGUAGGGGUGGCAAUCCAGCUCGCUGUUCGUGAGCCGGCUUGUGUUCGGCUCGAAAUGAGCUCGAGAUCGGCUCGCUUGUUUAGUAAACGAGUCGAACAUGAGCUGAAUUUUUCAGCUCGUUUAAUAAACCAGCCGAACACGAGCUGGGAUCAGCUCGCUCGUGUUCGGCUCGAUAACAGCUCGAAUACAUAUAUUUUAUAUUUAUAUAAUUUAUUUAAUUUAUAUUUUUAUAUAUAAAUAAAUAAUUAUAUAAAAUAUAUUUUUUUAUUAUUUAAAUUUUAGCAAAAUAAAAAUAUAAAUGCGAGCUUAAUUAUAAAAAGACUCAUUUAUAUGUAAAGUUUCAACUAUUAGAUCAAAGUCUAAUGGAUAAGAUUUUAUAAAUUUAUUUUUAAUAUAUAUUUAAUCUAAUUUUUUUUAAUUUAUUGUUCGUUGCAGCUCGUGAGCCAGCUCGUGUGUCUCUGUGUAAUAAUAACGAGCCGAACACUAGCUGAAUUUUCUGAUUCGAUACUUUAACGAGCUAGCUCGUGUUCGGCUCUUAAUAAACGAGCCGACCCCAGCUCGCCUCGGACAUCGUUUACAUCCCUAAAUCCACGGAGGGUAUUUGAAGUUUACUUUUUUUUUUUUUUUUUUGUCCAUAUGCAUGGCCGAUAUCCAAUGAACUAAUGGUGACGUCAUUAUUUCAUUAUUAUAACUCACUCACGUAUAAAGCUAAGUAGGGCAUGUAGAUAUUUCAUUUAAAUAGUACAUGUAUUAAUUACUAGUCUUUUUCCAAGCACCUCUUGAUUUUUUAUUAUUUAUUUUAUUGGGUUAAUUUCAUACAGUUUUUUCUAAACAUAUGGAAUAGCAAAUAUUACAAAAUUCAACAUUUUUUUUUUAUCGUUAUAAAAGGUCAAUGAUAUUCAUAUUUGUCCUUCUACUUUGUUAUUAUUAUAGCACUAUUUAUUUUUUAACAGAAAAUAAGUGAAAUAAUAUUUUUGUCAUUAUAAAUAUGUCCUUCAAAAGUGUCAAUUGUUAAAAUUAUAUAUAAAUAUUCUUUCAAAAAUCUCCUCUUCUUCCUUUCUACCAUCACAGAUAAUAUAAGAGAGAUAAAAAUGUUAAUUUAUCUUAUUCACUAACUAUGGUUAACUAUUUUACCUAUAGCUAACUAUAUUUUUCGAAUGAAUCUUAGCAGCCGAGGUAUAUUUAAAAACGCUAUAAUUUUUAUAAAAAUAAAAAUAAAAAAUUAAAAUUUUAUAAAAAUAUAUUUGCUAUUCGAUAUAUUUACAAAAAGCCAUAUGAAAUUAACCUUUUUUUUCUAGUAUGGAGCAGUGUUCAGUACUAUCGGAAGUGUGAAAUUGGUCGAGUUCCUUUCCGACAACGGAACCCACAUGAGGACAAAUUAACCAAGUAGUGUCCGGUCCUUGCCUUGCUAGUUAAUGAAUCACAAAAUUUAUUGCACUUAUGUGGAAAUUGCUAAUUAUAUUUAGUUAAAUUAUAAGCUUAUAUAGCCCACAAAAUUUGACACCAAACUUGUGGUCCAUAUUACCUUAUUUAGAGUACUAAAUUGUUCAUUAAUGAACAUUGUUUUAGAAAAAAAUGAUUGGUUAGUGAACUUCAACUCUUAUCCUCUUUGUCCACUUACAAGGAAAUUUCAAAAUUUUCAUUUGGUCAAAUAGUAACAAGCGCAACUUUGCUGAGAAGUUUCUCAACCAAACCUCAAACAAAGUGUUUGGUAAACAAUAUAAUUAAUUUUGGAAUAAACUUUAAAUACCACUUUUGUGGUCUCGCACUUUCUCACUCUACUACCAUAUAGUUUAAAGUGUAUUAAGUUAGUAUCCUAUGAUAUUAUUUUUAUUUUUUCAUCAGCUUUUCUGUUAAUAUUUUAUUAAAUUAUAUACAAAAAAAACUUCAGAUAUCCCACCUAGAUUUAUCGAAUAUUCAUUUUAAUACCCUUUAGUUUUAACUAUGUCACUAAUUUAAUGAAAAAAAUUAGUAAAAUCGAUAAUAAAAAGAUAAAAAUAAAACCACAUGGCACUAAAUUAAUACACUUUAAACUACAUGAUAUUAAAGCGAGAAAGUGUGAAACUAUAAGAGUGGUAUUUGAAGUUUUUCUUUUAUUUUGUG
rnacentral:lncRNA from 1 species